UCUUCGACUGAGAAGUCGUCAGUAACCGCGACGUUACGGACGAAGCGAGAGGAAGCGGCGGAGAUGGAGAGGGAGAGGGAGGCGGAGAGGGAGUGGAGAUUGAAGGAGAGGGAAGGAGGUGAGAGGGAAGCGGAGGCGGGUCUGGAGAUGGAGAAAGGAAGGGACUUGGGGGUGAAGGUGGAGAGAGCGAGAGAGGAAGCUGAAGCAGCCAUGGUGAAGAGAUGAGAAGAGAUAAGGUUUGUUUUUAGCUUUAGGGGUUUUUUGAGAGUGGAGAUAAGAUGGUGUGUUUCUGAUAUUUAUGGGCCAAAUGGGAAUAAAUAUCUUUGCACAAAAUAUCUCAUUCUGAUUUUUAUUUACAAAAUUUGCCUCAAAACUUUAUUUUAUUGCUAAAUAUUCUGCUGCUAAUAAAAUUUGUCAAAUUUUGAUGAAUUUAUCUUAACGUCAUCUCUAAAAAAAGUAUGUAUUUAAAAAAAAUAUAGGUUUUCAUAAAUUUGUACACAAUUUUUUUAGAAAAUCUUAAUUUUCAAAAUAUUUUGUAUUUUCUCACUUUAGUGGUGUUAUCUUUAGUGAGAUGACAGAUGAGAUGAGAUCUAAGCCGUAGAGUUUUGGAUGGACAGUGGAGAUGGCACGUCUCAUGCCAAGGCCCCAAAAAUAUAAAAAAUCUAUAAGAUAGGAUAUUUUAACUAAAAGCCAAUGGAAUUAACAACUCUCGUUCCAGCACAGAUCUUUAACUCCAAUAAAUUCAGAAAACAAUACAGUUCCUUUAAAGAAAACCACUGAAUCAUACAAAGGUUGCUCCAUUCAAAACAAGUUAAUAAGAAACUAUUUAUUUGGAUAACAAUAGAAGACUGAAGUUCUUGAACUGCAAAACGCUUUUAGGAUCUCUUCAAUUGGAGGGUCAUCUCCAGCUUCUUUGUCCUGAAACGUUCCAACAAACAAGUUGUUGAGUACGAGAUUGUGAUUAAUUUACCCCUUUGAUUACAUUGACAUGGUGUAAACACAAGUAUUUGAUCAAAACGUGUUACCUGGUCCAUACUCCCCGGUCCGAUCAAAACAUGAGAAACACCAGAUGCAUCCAUCACAUGCUAAGAAAACCUCAAAUGUAUCACUUAAUGAAAUGAUCAAAACCACAUCAAGAUUUUGACAUUGUUGUUUUUACUCCGGGAAAGCCGAAAGAAAUAAGAAAAAUCCUAACUUUAAGUUUUAGUUAGAAAAAAAAAUCAAAUUAAAAAAAUCUCGUGGAGUGGAGUUAUUACACGUUGCAUAGAUGACGUAAGCAUUGUCCGAAACAGAAAAAGUCAAACGCCACGUAAGCUCAGUAAGGGUAAAAAGUUUUGGAAAGGUAGAUCCUUUUCUAAAAGCGAAUGUUCCUUCUUUGCACGUUCAAGCGAUCUCAAGCCGCUCCUCUCUCUCUCUCUCUAUCAUCUCUGAAAUGGCGAGAGUACUGCGUGUGGCGAGAUCCUCCUCCUCCCUCUUCAGCUUCGGAAGCAGAUCUUAUUCAGCCGAAGCUAGCCACGUGUCCUCUCCCCCUCCUCCGUUUCUUGGAGCUCGCAGAGACGUUACCAAGGAGAGAAACGUGCAGUGGGUGUUCCUCGGUUGUCCCGGUGUCGGGAAGGGGACUUACGCCAGCAGACUCUCGAGUCUCCUCGGUGUUCCUCACAUCGCCACCGGAGAUCUCGUCCGUGAUGCGCUAGCUUCUUCCGGACCUCUCUCCCGACAGGUUCUUGUUUCACUUUAUGUCCAAAUGAAUCCCAAAACGACGUCGUUUUCUGUUUAAAUCUGCUAAAAGUUCAUGUGUCUACCAACAGAUCUAAUGAACUAGUGUUUGUUUUGUCCUAACGGAUCUGAUCCUUUUUCUAAUAAUAGUCAACGGCUCUCUCCUCUUGCUUGUAUUGAGAUUCUUAUUACUUGAUUGCAGCUAUCAGAGAUUGUAAACCAGGGGAAGCUUGUUUCUGAUGAGAUCAUAGUGAACUUAUUAUCAAAGAGACUUGAAGCUGGUGAAGCCAAGGGCGAAUCAGGUUUCAUUCUUGAUGGCUUUCCUCGUACCAUGAGACAAGCUGUAAGUUAAUUCAUUGACUUCACAUCAUAUUGAGCAAAGUUUUGAAUGAUUAAUCUUUGUGUUUUCAGGAAAUAUUAGGAGAUGUCACUGACAUCGAUCUAGUGGUGAACUUAAAGCUACCUGAGGAGGUUUUGGUUGACAAAUGCUUAGGGAGGAGAACGUGUAAUCAAUGCGGUAAAGGUUUCAAUAUAGCUCACAUCAACUUAAAGGGUGAGAAUGGGAAACCAGGAAUCAGCAUGGAUCCACUUCUCCCUCCACCUCAGUGUAUGUCAAAGCUCAUCACUCGUGCUGAUGAUACUGAGGAGGUUGUGAAAGCUAGGCUCCGUAUUUACAAUGAAACCGUAAGUCCUCUUUCUCUCUCUCUAUUGUUCUUCCCAUUUUAGCGAUGCUUGAUGCUUUGAAUGAUGUGUGCAGAGCCAGCCUCUUGAAGAGUACUACCGUAUCAAGGGAAAGCUGAUGGAGUUUGACUUACCUGGAGGCAUCCCUGAGUCUUGGCCAAGGCUGUUAGAAGCUUUAAGGCUUGAUGAUUACGAGGAGAAGCAAUCUGCCGCGGCGUAGUUCAACUACAACUCCGGUUUAUAAUUCUUUGCAUGUGGAAGACAUGUGCCUAUAUCAGUUUUGUGUUGGAAAAUAAAGAAAACCUUAGAUUGUUUUUUUUUAUUGCCUCAGAUCAGAAUAAUCAUCAUCAUACACACUUUGCAAACUAUAUGAUGUAUCAUGAUUGUUUAUGAGUUUGCUAGUUACAGGAAUGUAUAAACACUUUGGUACACUUUUGAUUAUUUAUUGUUGAAUGUGAUCAAUGAUUGUUUAUGAGUUUGCUAGUUACAUUACAUGAAUGUAUCAAUACUUACACUGCUUGUUACACAUCAGGUUUGAUGUUUGGGCUCUUGUGAUUAGUUUGUUUAUUGUUGAAUGUGUGUGAUAAUAUUGCGGCUGGCCGAGCUGGCUGGUUAAAGAACACAACCAGACAGUAAAGUAAAACAGUCGCAUACAUUAAAGAUUUUGUGGAACGUAUAACCAGCUCCUGUCUGUCCUAGAAUUGGCGGUUCGGGAUAGAACUGUUCCUUACAUACUGGAACUUCCAGUAGAAUUUGAUGCUAAUUGUUGGUCCUAAACUAGUGUGUAUCAGUUGCUAUGUGAUCUCAUAACUGGACCUUAUCUUAUGGUUUGUGCUUGAGGUUUCUGAGAAAUCGCUGGGUUCAUUUGAUUCUUCUGGUUUGACAAUUAGUUUCUUGUUAUGGACACGGUGAAAUCAGACUCAAAUCGGUGGAAUAAGACAGCCUCAAAGAAGGCAGACAUAAUCAUGUUUGCUCUUGAUUCAUCUUCAAUCUCAACAGGACAUUAAAAUCAAUUUGUAGCUUUAUUUUGUUAGUAUAUAGAUUUGAUGAAAUAAACAACCUUUAAAUUAUAAAUAUAAAGAUGAAAAUAUUCUUAAACAUGAAACCGUUUUGAUCAAGAUUCAAAAAAAACUUCAUUAAAAGAUAGGGACAUCUUCUGAAACAUAUCCAAAAAGCUCUAAUGAAAAACAGCAAGAUAAGGUCUUUGAGAUGUAAUGCAAACUCAAGGCCUAGGAAGAUCCUCCUUAACGGUUGGCCUUCGCAACUCUCUCAAUCUCAUCCUUCUUCUUGAUGGCAUAGCUGCAAAAAAACAAGACAAGAUGCUAUUAGUAUUUAGCAACAAACAAACACAAUUUGUGAACCCGCUUUAAGAGACAAGACAAUGUAAAGAUGUUUACCUGUUGGAAGAUCCCUUGGCAGCAUUGAUGAGCUCAUCAGCAAGGCACUCAGCGAUUGUCUUGAUGUUUCUAAACGCAGCUUCACGUGCACCAGUGGUGAGCAAGAAGAUGGCUUGGUUCACACGUCUUAGAGGAGAGAUAUCAACAGCCUGCCUCCUAACCACACCAGCAGAUCCAAUCCUCGUCGCAUCCUCACGUGGACCACUAGCUCACCAAUAAAACACACACAACAUUAGAAAAAAAGGUUUCUAGUAACACGCAAUAAAGAAUGCAACAUUGUUGUCUUACCUGUUGACAAUGGCAUCAAUGAUAACCUGAAUAGGGUUCAAGUCAGUCAAGAGAUGGAUGAUCUCCAUGGCGUGCUUGAUGAUCCUCACAGCCAUCAGCUUCUUUCCGUUGUUCCUUCCGUGCAUCAUGAGAGAGUUCGUGAGCCUCUCAACGAUUGGGCACUGAGCCUUCCUGAACCUCUUCACAGAGUAUCUUCCAGCAGUGUGGGGGACAAAGGUCGCGUGCUUAGCAGGCUGAACACCAAUGUAGUCAACAAGACUAAUGUCUGUGACCUACCCAUUCACAAAAAAAAAAAACACAAGAUCAACAAAACAAAUACUAAGAACAUAGCCAUUGUUGCCAAUUUAAAUUUUAGAGAUCUAAUAUUCAAAAACAAACCAAACAACACAGAAAGUGUUGGACUUUAAGACAAAGAAACAUCAGGAUCAACCAAGUGUACUGAGACAAUAAAACAUGAAUUGAAAAUUAACAAAAAUAAAAACAAAAAGAGGACAUUUUUUCCGACAUAACUCCAUGAGUUAUAUCUAAUUCAGACAAUGUAACUAUUUUUUUGUAAUAGACCAAUCAUUUCAUUGUAGAAUUAGAUCCUAUAAAGAUUGCAAAUGAGCUAUCGUAAACUUACCGAAACGUCAUCAAAGCUCCAGCGAUUGAAGAGCUUGACCUCGUUGGUAAGCUGCUGCUGAAUCUCAGCGUCAAUCUCAACGGCGGCGGCCAUGGCUGGAAACACCAAACAAAAGCUUAGCCACAAGCACACACGCAAACCAGAGAAUCGAAGAUGAAGAAGAAAUCAAUACCUCAAACUCGUAAGCGUCGUGNNNNNNNNNNNNNNNNNNNNNNNNNNNNNNNNNNNNNNNNNNNNNNNNNNNNNNGCGUCGUGUGGAGAUGAGACGGGACUAGGUUUAGCUGCAGCUACUGCUUGAAGAAGGUGGUGAGAAGAAACAAAAACCCUAAUUUUACUAGAGUAUAGGGUUUUUAAAAUGGAUUUUAUUGGGCCCAAUGGGCUUUUCGUAAGGCCCAGUCCAAGUCGUUAUACCAUAAGUCUUUAGAGCAUACUAGAAAGAGAGCAUUCAAUGCGGGAUGUCGACUUGCUAGCUCUCGUCCAUGCACCGUCCGUCGCCAUCAAUCCGUGAGUUUUUAUCGGUUUUUGUUCAAUGACUCCAACGAACUUUGAAAGAUUUGCCCACUCUUCCUUGCAAAUUAAUCACGAGAUCAUCGCCUUGUACUUGUUACUCCAUUUUGUCGUAUUAUCAUAUUUACUUGUUACUCCAUAUUGUCGUAUUAUCAUAUUUUUAUAAGAUAUUCACUAACAGUAACAGAUAAGUCAUUCUUAUCCUAAAGUCAUUUUAAUUCAGAGACGACAAAAUUUAGGAAAAAUAAAUUCUAGAUGAUUUAUCGAAAAAUAUUUGUGUGUAAUGUUAUAGUCAGUUAACUUAAUUCGUUUGCAAUUUCUAGGAAUAAAAAUAUGACAGUCUAAUUCGUUAAAUUAGUAUACUUUCCCAAAAAGACAAAUAAUACAAGCUGAUCUUGAAGAAUCAAUAAAUUAAUGUGAAAAUGAUAGACAAUGAACGUGAAGAUUGCUUGAGAUAUGAUAAGAUACUUUCAAUGCUCCCGACAAGAAAAGCAUUAAUUUGGACUCGUUGAUGCAUGGGGUAGAUAAGAGUGGACAGGGGAGCUUGCAGAGAUUGGAAACAAGUAUGGGGGAUCGAGUUUCAAGAGCAUCUCCUCAAGAAAUGAACAUGAGGAUGAGAACAUUUCUCGUCGACACACAAACUGCUAAGAUAAACUAUUGUGGUAAGAUAGAAUAUAUGUACCACAUCAAUGUCCUAGCUAAGAAUAGAUACCACAGCAAUGUUCUAGCAAAGCAAUAUUGUCGAAAGUUUGUUCAUCUAUAAUUUUCUUUUCCUUUUAAUUAAUUAAGAUGGGUGCAAUUUUUGCCUAGCAACACUAGAAUAUAGAAUAUGGACCACUUAUGUAAUUUAAGCAUGCAUAAUGGCACACUAUAAGUACUAGCUUUUAAAUAAAUAAAGUGAUCCUUCAAUUAAUUAGGUAUUUCAUAUUCUCAAAGUAAGUUAGGUAAUAAUACUUUAAUUUCCACACUUUCUUGACCCAAUAAAACUCCCCAAUAUAUUAUUUGUAGUCUACUUUUUUUUAUUAAAUUUGUAGAUAUUGUUAGAGGAAUAUAGUAUGUUUUCUUUUGAAUUAUUAUCUCUUUUUAUUUAUUUUUAUUUCAAAUAAUAAGUUUGUUUAUUUUUAAGAAGAAUAUCCUACCUCUAGUCAAUUCAAAUUGUUUGUUUCCGACCAUAUUCCAAUCAUGGUAAAUUACCCAAAAAGAACACAAAAUAAUGACGUUGAGACACUCUCAAAAGUUAGCACGUAACAAUUGUAGUAGUGAAAAGACGUCUAAGCAUAUUAAAUAUAUUUACACUUUGAAGACAAAUGCAUAUCUCAUUAUUGACUAUUCAUCAGAUAAGAAGCCAAGAGAGUACUCACUGAGACAUGAGUGGUGAUGAUUUGAGAAUGGAGCUUGCAGAGAUUGGAAAAAGCAUGGGGUCGAGUUUCAGGAGCAGCUCCUCAAGAAACGAGGAUGAGGCAGAGCAUGCUCUGCAGUGGGCUGAGAUCCAAAGAUUACCUAGUUUCAAACAACUGAGAUCAUCUCUGGUCGAUGAAGAAGGGGAUGAUGUGGAGAAAGGGAAAAGGGUCGUUGAUGUCACCAAGCUUGGAGCCAUGGAACGUCGUCUGAUGAUUGAGAAGCUGAUCAAACACAUUGAGAAUGACAAUCUCAAGCUGCUCAAGAAAAUUAGAAGAAGAAUAGACAGGUAUAUGUGAAAACAAAGAAACAAACCUUGUGAAUCUUGAACUGAGUUGUUACUUUGCAGGGUUGGUGUGGAGCUUCCAAGCAUAGAGGUGAGGUAUAAGCAUCUAAGUGUUGAAGCAGAAUGUGAGGUCGUUGAAGGGAAGGCGCUUCCAACUUUAUGGAAUUCUUUGAAGCACAUUUUCUUAGUGAGUAUACUUGAGAAUAUAAUGCAUUUUGCCAGUAGGUAGUAAAUUGUUGUGAACAAACGCGAAUUAACUUCAAAGAAAACAAAAAAAACUUGAAAAGAACAAAGCACGAUUGAGGCAAAUAUCAUUUUAAAAUUUGUAUAUUGAUUAUGUGAAUAAUUAAAUCUACAACAACUUAGACAGUUGUUAACAUAACUAGUAUUGAACUAUACUUUUUUCUUCUUUAGGAGUUGGUAAAGCUGAGUGGUGUAAGAACACAUGAAGCCAAGAUAAGCAUACUUAACGAUGUUAGCGGCAACAUUAACCCUGGAAGGUAGCUUUUGAUCCAAGCUUUGAGUUAGUGUGUAAUGCACGCAACUAAUGCUCUCUUCUUGUUGCUCCAAGGUUAACACUGCUGCUUGGUCCUCCUGGAUGUGGAAAAACUACUCUGCUCAAGGCUUUGUCCGGAAACUUGGACAAGAAUCUAAAGGUUUUCAGACUUUGUUUCAAUCUGAUUCUCAUGAUGCAGAUGUGUAAACCACAGAACUCUUUUGUUUUCCACAGAUUUCUGGUGAAAUCUCUUACAAUGGACACGGUCUAAACGAGUUUGUUCCUCAGAAGACAUCCGCUUACAUAAGCCAACACGAUCUGCACAUUGCGGAGAUGACUGUUAGGGAGACAAUAGACUUCUCAGCUCGUUGUCAAGGUGUUGGUAGUCGAACAGGUAAGAUGUCUUCUGAAGCAUCCGCUAAACUAUUUGCUGAAACAGAUAUAUCAAUUUUCUCUGUACCAAUGUUCAAAAAGUUGUUUGGCUAUAACUAUGCAUUUUAUAGAGGACUACCGAUUAGAUUGAUUAUUCGGGGCAGUGCUAACGAAAUAUUGAUUUGUUUUAUAUAUUUUUUACAUUUUUAUAUGAUAUUUUUUGGCUUUAAUUAUAAAACUAUUUUGAUGAAUUGUAAAAAUUAAAUAUACAAAAUAAAACAAAUUAGAAAAAUCUGUGGAUUUGCACUAACAUAAUUGGUUAAUUUAGAUUGAUUUAAACCAAUUUUAACUGAUUUAGAACAAUUCAAACCGAUUUGAAUCAUGCUCUAUACUAUUGGCUGAAACAGAUAUUAUGAUGGAGGUCAGUAAAAGAGAAAAGGAUGGUGGAAUCAUUCCUGACCCUGACGUAGAUGCUUACAUGAAGGUCCCAUUCCAUAAGCUAAUCUUUUAAGAGGGAUGAUUAUAAAACCUUUUGUUAAUCCCAUUGUGCAGGCUAUAUCGGUUAAUGGACUUAAAAGAAGUCUACAAACAGAUUACAUCUUGAAGGUAAUUUCUCUGACAACAACUCAGACUUGUAAUCCUUGUUGAUUAGCUUCUUGAUUAUGUCAUGUAUUUGCAAUUUGCAUUUCUUUUUCUUCAGAUCCUAGGGCUUGACAUAUGUGCAGAAACAUUGGUUGGUAAUGCCAUGAAAAGAGGCAUAUCUGGUGGUCAAAAGAAGCGUCUUACUACAGGAGAGAUGAUCGUUGGUCCAACAAAAGCUCUGUUUAUGGAUGAAAUCACAAACGGCUUAGACAGCUCCACAGCGUUUCAGAUAGUUAAGUCACUUCAGCAGCUGGCUCACAUCACCGACGCAACUGUGUUUGUUUCCCUUCUUCAGCCUGCUCCAGAGUCAUAUGAUCUCUUUGACGAUAUUGUCUUGAUGGCUGAAGGAAAAAUAGUUUAUCAUGGUCCAAGAGGCGAGGUCUUGAGGUUCUUUGAAGAGUGUGGGUUUAGAUGCCCAGAGAGGAAAGGUGUUGCAGACUUUCUACAAGAGGUAAGAAGCCAAGUUUAUGUUCCUUGACACUUACGUUUUGUUCUGAGUUGUUUUUGUUUUGCAGGUUAUAUCUAGGAAGGACCAAGGACAGUACUGGCUGCACCAGGACAUACCCUAUACCUUUCUCUCAGUAGACGCGUUGUCCAGGAGAUUCAAGGAGUUAGAGAUUGGGAGAAAGAUUGAGGAUGCUCUCUCUAAGCCCUAUGAUAAUUCAAAAACCCACAAGGAUGCUCUCUCUUUCAGUGACUAUUCUCUUCCAAAGUGGGAGCUGUUCAGAGCAUGCAUCUCAAGAGAGUUUCUAUUAAUGAAGAGAAACUCUUUCGUCUACCUCUUCAAGACGUUUCAGGUUACAUUCUUCGUUCCUUGUGUCUUCUUUCAAUGUUCUAGGGUUAGGUCUAAAGAAACCCUUCUUGCCCUUUAUGUUUUGCAGCUUGUUCUGUCAGCAAUCCUCACUAUGACAGUUUUUAUUAGAACACGUAUGGGUGUAGAUAUCAUUCAUGGAAACUCUUACAUGAGUUGUCUCUUUUUCGCAACCGUUGUGCUUUUGGUGGAUGGUUUGCCAGAGCUGUCUAUGACUGUUCAACGUCUUGCCGUGUUCUACAAGCAAAAGCAACUUUGUUUCUAUCCAGCUUGGGCUUAUGCAAUCCCUGCAACCGUGUUAAAGAUCCCUCUCUCUUUCUUCGAAUCUCUCGUUUGGACUUGCCUUACUUACUACGUCAUUGGAUACACUCCUGAAGUCUCUAGGUAAGAAGAACUCUAUAACCAUCUCUUGCUUGCUCCCUACUCAAACGAUUAUGGAAAGUAAUGGUUACUUGGUGUUUUUAGGUUCUUACGUCAGUUCAUGAUGCUCUUUGCUGUUCACUUCACAUCCAUAUCCAUAUUCCGAUGUAUAGCUGCAAUCUUUCAGACAGGAGUUGCUUCAAUGGCAGCUGGUAGUUUCGCCGUAUUAAUCACCUUUGUGUUCGCCGGUUUCGCCAUCCCAUACAGUAAGACUUUUGCACUCUUUCUUCAUUUCAGUCUUGUUCCAAACUUCCAUCAAAACAUGACCAGGGCCGGAUCUAGGCACAGCCCAAUAAAACAUCGGUCUCGGUCCCUAAAUUUUUUGAAAUUUUUAGUACGAAUAAACCCCUAAACUAUAGAAAAAAAAAAUUGUUUUACUAAGAUUUUUAAAUGUUUCAAGCUCCCAAAAUCUCAUAUCCGGCCCUGAACGUGACAUUGGUUUUGUUGCUGCAGCUGAUAUGCCAGGGUGGCUGAAAUGGGGAUUCUGGGUGAAUCCUAUAGGUUACGCAGAGAUUGGGCUCUCUGUAAACGAGUUUCUUGCUCCGAGAUGGCAGCAAGUAAGUAUCUCAUCUUUUUACAUACUUCUCUUCAUCAUUCUUACAAGACUAAUCAAGUUUUUCUUGUUAUGUUUUGUAGAUGCAACCAACGAAUGUUACAUUGGGGAGAACCAUACUUGAAAGCAGAGGACUGAACUAUGAUGAUUACAUGUACUGGGUCUCAUUAUGUGCCUUGCUGGGACAGACUCUCCUCUUCAAUACUAUUUUCACUCUAGCUUUGAGUUUCUUGAAAUGUAAGUUACAAAAUAUCGAAAAAUAUGCCAUGGACUAAAGCAUAAACUGAAGAGCUUCUUUUUUAACAGCUCCCACUACAUCUCGCGCUAUGAUCUCCAAAGACAAGCUCUCUGAGCUGCAAGGAACAAAAGAUUCAUCACUCAAUAAGAACAAGAAGGCAAUAGAUUACACAGAAGAUUCAGGUGAAACAUAUAUGUCUUUCUUGUCAUACAAGCAAACUCUUUAUUCUCAGUUUAGCUUUAUUGACCUAAUUCAUUCAGCAGGGAAGAUGGCCUUACCUUUUAAGCCUCUCACCAUAACAUUUCAAGAUUUGAACUACUACGUUGACGUUCCUGCGGUAAAAUCUUCUCCUCCCCAUCCUUGGAUCUUAACCAUCUUCAUAUGCAAACAUGAUCAUCAAAGGACGUUUUGACUAAUCUUAGGAGAUGAGAGUUCAAGGAUACAAUGAGAAGAAACUGCAGCUUCUCUCAGAUAUCACCGGAGCUUUCAGACCAGGCGUUCUAACAGCGUUGAUGGGGAUCAGUGGAGCCGGAAAAACAACUCUACUCGACGUUCUCGCCGGAAGAAAAACAAGCGGAUACAUCGAAGGAGAGAUCAGAAUCAACGGAUACUUUAAAGUCCAAAAAACCUUCGCAAGAGUCUCAGGCUACUGCGAGCAAACAGAUAUACACUCACCAAACAUCACCGUCGAGGAGUCUCUAAUCUACUCAGCUUGGCUCCGUCUAGUUCCAGAAAUAGAUCACAAAACCAAAAUAGUAAGCCGGCCCUAGUGAUUCUAAAAAAGGCAAGAAUGACCUAGAAAGUAACUUGACUGAAAAGAAACUCGUUGCAGAGAUUCGUGAAGGAAGUUCUUGAGACGAUAGAGCUGGAGGAGAUCAAGGACGCGAUGGUGGGAGUCCCCGGCCAGAGCGGGCUGUCGACGGAGCAGAGGAAGAGGUUGACGGUGGCGGUGGAGUUGGUGGCGAAUCCUUCGAUCAUAUUCAUGGACGAGCCGACGACGGGGCUGGACGCAAGAGCAGCAGCCAUUGUGAUGAGAGCUGUGAAGAACGUUGCGGAGACUGGACGUACCAUUGUGUGCACUAUUCAUCAGCCUAGUAUCGAUAUUUUUGAAGCCUUCGACGAGGUACAUAUGUUUUUCAAAUAUGAAAAGUAUUUAUAGUGGUUUUGUUUUAAAAGAAUACUCUCACAUGUAUUAUAUUAACAUUUUAUCCAAAAGUAGAUAUAAGAGAUUUUUUUUCUUCAAAAUAGCCUUUAUCAAAAAUUUGAAAAUUAUAGAAUAAUUGAGUUUAGGGUUUAAAAGGGAUGGGUGAGAUUAGGUUUUAUAAAUUAAAGUAACUUAAUUUUUUUUAUUUAAAUGAGUGUGUUUUGAAGAUCUGUUAGUGUUAUAUUUGUGAUAAACUUUAAAAGUGCUAUUUUGGAGUUUUGACUAUUUUGUGGAUAAUUAAGAAGAAAUUUCUUAUAACAUAUUGUUUUUAUUACAUGUUCAGUUGGUACUUCUGAAGAGAGGAGGUCGCAUGAUUUACACUGGACCACUUGGACAACAUUCUUCUCAUGUCAUACAGUAUUUUGAGGUUAGCGUGUUAUACAAGAAAAUGAGCCAGUUUAGUUUCUAUGACUUUUUCAAUGUUUUAACGAAAUAAUUAACUAUGUAUAUUUUUGUUAUUUGGGGUUAAUGAACAGAGUAUCUCUGGAGUUGCUAAGAUUAAAGACAACUACAAUCCAGCAACAUGGAUGCUAGAGGUCACUUCACAGUCUGUAGAGAUUGAACUCAACAUGGAUUUUGCAAAAAUCUACAAAGAAUCUGCUCUCUACAAGUGAGCUGAAUAUCUCAAAAACAACUGAAACCUUGUCAUUUAUUACGAGCUCAUGUGUUUUCUCUGUAGCAGGAGCAACUAUGAGCUUGCUCAGGAGCUGAGCAAACCGGAUCCCGGGUCAAGCGAUUUACAUUUCGAGAGAACUUUUGCGCAGAGCUGGUGGGAACAGUUCAAAUCUUGUCUAUGGAAGAUGAGCUUGUCUUACUGGAGAAGCCCUGCUUACAACUUGAUGCGAAUCUUUCACACUUUAGUCUCUUCUUUGAUCUUUGGUUUACUCUUCUGGAAGCAAGGUCAAAAGAUGUAAGUUAGUUGCAUAAAAUACAUUCAAAUCAUCAUUAGAGCAUGUUCAUUAGUGAGACCCUUAAGUGUCUCUUAAGUGGGGUUUAAUAAUUUUUUAACUAUUAAAUUUAAUAUAAGAGAUUUUGUUAAGAAACACUUAAUUAUAGUGGUUUAUUGGUGGUUUCUUAAUUAAGGUGCUUAACAAAUAAAAAAAUAUUAAACUUUUUUUAAACAUAAAAUUUUAAACAAAGAUUAAUUUUAUUUAUUAAAUAAAACAAAGUCAAACAUAACAUUUUAAACAUAGAUUUUAAAAUAAAAAAAAUUAAAACAUUAAAACAAAGAUUACUAAAAUAAACAAUACUAAUUUUAAAGCGGCAUCCAAGUUCAGUUGUUGUGUUGAUCACGUCCAAAUUUAUGCCAUAUAUGUUCAACCAAAUCACCUUUCAGUUGUUGAUGCGCUUGUCUAUCACGAAUUCUUGUUCGAACACCCAUCUGAUUGGCGAUAUUUGUAGGGAUAUCUGUAGAAUAUGUUAAAUCUACAUAUGAACUUCUGCUGCCUUCGCCUUGUUGGAAUCCCGAGACAUCAAACUAACUGCAUUCAUCCCGUUCGUUUUCUACUAUCAUAUUAUGGAGUAUGAUACAUGCUCUCAUAAUCUUCCCAAUCUUGACUUUAUCCCAACAAAGUGCUGGAUUUUUAACAAUGGCAAAUCGAGCUUGCAAGACUCCGAAAGCACGCUCGACAUCUUUUCGGGCAGCUUCUUGAUGUUGAGCAAAUAAAACUGCUUUCGGCCCUUGUGGAAGUGAAAUAGAUUGGAUGAAAGUUGCCUAUUUCGGAUAAAUUCUAUCGAUCAGAUAGUAAGCCAAAUCAUACUCUUUUCCGUUGACUGAGAAAUUCACUUGCGGGGCUUGACCAUUUAUGAUGUCAUCAAAAACAGGUGAGCGAUCUAGAACAUUAAUAUCAUUUAAGGUACCUGGAGGUCCAAAAAACGUAUGCCAUAUCCAGAGAUCAUAUGAAGCAACCGCCUCUAAAACUAUUGUGGGUUUCCCCGAACCACGAGAAUAUUGCCCUUUCCAAGUGGUGGGACAAUUCUUCCACUCCCAAUGCAUACAAUCGAUGCUUCCUAUCAUCCCGGGAAAUCCACGAACCUCUCCAAUAUAAAGUAGACGUUGAAGGUCAUCCGGUGUUGGUCUUCUUAGGUACUCAUCGCCGAACAAAUUUAUGAUUGCUUCCACAAAAUUUUCCACACAUAACCGAACAGUGGUUGCACCGAGCCUGAGGUAUUCGUCGACCGCAUCAAGCGCAGAACCAUAUGCCAACACACGAAUAGCUGCUGUACACUUUUGAAGCGGGGAGAGACCUUGCCUUCCGGUAACAUCCUUCUUCUGACGAAAGAAUUGGACUUCGUUGGAGAGGCGAUCAACAAUAUACAUGAACAAAGGCUUGUUCAUUCUAAAUCGACGUCGGAAUAGAUUUGCUGGAUAUGUCGGCGCGUCACUGAAAUAAUCAUUCCAUAACCGGAGAUGGCCUUCUUCACGAUUUCUUUCAAUAAAAACUCUCUUUUUCUUUUUCUUCCUUUGAUCUUGUUGAUCACCAUAAACAUUGCACAAAUUCUCAAAUGUUUGUUCGAAAGUCUGAUCAAAAUAUUUAUCGAACAUUUCAUCAAAUGACUCAUCCAAAUCAAAUGACUCAUCCGAGAUGUGAUUUGAAGACGAAGCCAUGAAAGACUUGAUUUCGAAAAUUUAAGAAUGGUGAGUGUGUGAACGUGAGAUGAAAAAGAGAAGGAAGAGAGAACAAAGAGAACCGAGAGAAUGAGAACGUAGAGAAUUGUGAGUAUGAUCAGUUUUUAUUUUACAAAGAGAAUGAAGAACCGAGAGAAGAACAUGAGACUAUAGAGAUAGAGAAUGGUAAGAGAGAAUGGUGAUUUCUUUACGCUCUCAGCACAAACAUUUUAUAACCGUCACCGUUAGAGAGAGAGAGCUCGCCGUUGUCCAUCGUCGACGAGAGAAACCCAUAGAAACGUCGACAAGCUCAACGGAGAGGGAGAGAGAGGAAACGCCGUUUCGUCGACGAGAUCACCGAGACAGAGAGAGAGAGAGAGAGAGGAAUCACCUUUUCGUCGAGGAGAGCACCGACAGAGAGAGAAAGAGCUCGCCGUUGUCCAUCGUCGACGAGAGAAACCAAUAGAGACGUCGACGAGCUCAACGGAGAGGGAGAGAGAGGAAACGCUGUUUCGUCGACGAGAUCACCGAGACAGAGAGGGAGAGAGAGAGGAAUCGCCUUUUCGUCGAGGAGAGCACCGACAGAGAGAGAAAGAGCUCGCCGUUAUCCAUCGUCGACGAGGAAUAUCCAUAGAGACGUCGACGAGCUCAACGGAGAGGGAGAGAGGAAUCGCCGUUGUCGUCACUCUUGCGGAGCAACCGAGAAGAGAAAGGAAAGAGAGAAAGAAACAAGAACGACUUCACCGUUCGGAGAGCCAAUAACGACGUGACACGUCGCCCAAAUUACCGUGUCUUCGAGCACUUAAUUAGGGGACGUCCCUUGGCUUUAUUUCGUGUUUUCCAUUUUUUUUUAUGAUUAAUUAAGUUAAGGGACAUGCUUAAGAGCUGCCUUUGAACAUGCUCUUACAUUCCUAGUAAAGAACUGUCUCACACAUUAGGAAAGUACUAUUUUAUUUCAAAAAUAGCACACAAGAAUAUUUUUUUCCAAAAGAGUAUUAACUAAAAGUAUAUGGGUGUGGAUUUAGUGAUUAUGAUUUAGGGUUUAAUAUUUAGAGAGUGGAGUUAGGGUAAGAGUUUAGGAUACAGAGUAAUUUAGUCAAUUUAAUCUUUAACUAAUUAUAGUUUGAGAAUUUUUCUCUUAUGUUCUAUUUUUGUCAUAAUUGUUUGUAUUUUUUUUUUUUUGGCAGAGAUACUCAACAGAACUUGUUCACAGUUCUUGGAGCCAUCUAUGGCCUUGUGAUAUUCUUGGGGGUAAACAACUGCACUUCAGCUUUACAGUAUUUUGAGACAGAGCGUAACGUUAUGUACCGCGAAAGAUUCGCUGGAAUGUACUCUGCCUUUGCCUUUGCACUGGCUCAGGUUGUGACCGAGAUUCCUUACAUUUUCAUCCAAAGCGCAGAGUUUGUGAUCAUAAUAUAUCCUAUGAUGGGUUUAUACGGAUCUGCCUAUAAAGUCUUUUGGAGUCUCUACUCAAUGUUCUGCAACUUACUCUCCUUCAACUACUUAGCAUUGUUCCUCAUCUCCAUCACUCCAAACUUCAUGCUCGCAGCUAUUCUCCAGUCUCUUUUCUUCGUUGCUUUCAACCUUUUUGCUGGAUUCUUGAUUCCACUACCGGUAAGUUCUUUUUGUAACAAGUCAUUAUAUACCAUUAUCAUCAUCGUUGAUCUUUACCUAUAGUUAAUAGUGUUUUUCCUUGAUGUUGAAACAAUGCAGCAAAUACCAAAGUGGUGGGUGUGGCUUUACUAUCUAACACCUCCCUCUUGGAGUCUCAAUGUGUUUUUCUCGUCUCAGUACGGUGAUAUUCAUCAAGAGAUCAAUGCAUUUGGAGAAACCACGACCGUGGCGAGAUUCUUAGAGGACUAUUUUGGAUUCCAUUAUGAUCGUUUGAUGACUUCAGCCAUUAUUCUCAUAGCGUUUCCAGUUGCAUUGGCUUCUAUGUUUGCUUUCUUUGUUGCCAAACUCAACUUUCAGAAACGAUGAUCCAUCACACACCAACCAAAGGUUUGAAACACCAAAGGGUAGUUUACAAAUUACUGUAUGGACAUGCACGUAUUCGUUGUCACACUAUUUGUAAACACUAAACAAAUGCAAAAUUUAUUUAUAAAAUCAUAAGAAAGUUGGAUAUACUCUAAUGCAUCAAAAUAAAUAGGUCUACAACAUAAUAGUAACUCUCUUAUUUUUUUACCAUAGAGAAAUGAUCUACGGCUGAAUACUUCAAAUAUUAAUUAGUAUACUGCUUCAUGCAAUUGAAAUGAAUAGUAAAGUAUACUGCUUCCUUUAUUCAGGCACAUCAUAAUUUUCAAGAAGAAACGUCAUUUUCUUUCUUUGAUCACAAAAGACACAAGAAGAAAGAGACAUGUGUGUGUCUUGUCGUCCUCCCCAUCUCUACUAACACUUUGAAUUUAAUACUGUCAAACUCAAAGGUCUCCUAAAGCCUAAUUAAUCCCUUUAUGAUCACAUGCCCUUCUCCUUCCUCUCUCUCUCUCCAUUCUCCUAGUACCCAUCAAGAACUUCCACAAAAGUAUUAAACUGUAGCUUCAGGAUCCAACCUCAGAGAAACGGUUCUCAAUCAAGGUUAUUUGAGUAUUGGAUAUUCUUGAUUCUUGAACUCAGGAAAAGUCAUUACUAGCCUGUGAUUCUGCUUCAUGACUUGAGGUUGAAGCAACAACACUUUCUUCACCAGAAGAAACAUCUUUGAUCUUUGAACUUAACUCUUCUUUUUCUUCUUCCACGGAGGCAACAUUUUCAGUUUCUUGAUCAAUGUUUUCUUCCUCAACAAAUCCAUUUCCAUGAGUUUCUUUUUCCUCUCCUUCUUCCUUGGAAGCUGAGGUGGAAACCGAUGAUAAACAAGAAACUUCAGAUGAACUCAACUGCUCUGAUCCUUCAGAACUGCGAGACCCUUUUAUGGAUUCAAGCUUUUUCAUCAGAAACUUUAGUCUCUUCUCUGCUUUCUCCCUUAAUCUGAUCUCUUCUUUCAGAUUUUUCUCCAGCUCUUCCAUCUGUUUCCAAGAGAUUAAAGGUUUUCUUUGAAACAAAAAUCAGCUUAUUACCAAACAAAGAUUAAAAAAAAUAAAAAUAACAGAGCAAAUGAAUUUACAAGUAACAAGAAUGACUCUUUUCUUGGUUGUUGAUUAAACCCAAAUCUUCAAAAAAGUAGUGAGAAAAAGGCAUUUCUUAAACAAGAAUGAUGAUACUAAGGAUUUUAUGAAACUUACCUUUCUGGUAAUGAGGUCUGCUUCAUCUUUUACAGACCUUGAAACUUGCCUCUCUGCAAGCAGUCUCCCUCUUAGACACUCCACAGUUCUCAGAUUUCCCUUCUCUUCUCCUUCCUCCAUCUUCUUACUUGCAAAAUUUGUUCUUAAACAAAAAAAAAGAAGAUAAAAAUCAAUUCCUCAUAUACACUCUCUACAUAGAACUUUCUUAAAAUCACACAAUACGACAUAUACAUGUAUAUAAAGAGAAAGAGAAACCUGCAUUUCGUGUUGUAAUUGAAGGGAUCAAUUGUCAUACUGUUCUUUAUAUAUUCAAAAACCAGAACCAGAUUGGUAAAAGCUUGUAAAGCUCAACUUCUCACCUAACUGCAAAAAGGGUAAACUAAAAAUAAUAAGACAGUUAAGACCAAUGUGUUGUUAGAUUGAUGUCACUAUGAUUUACAUUUAUUGUUCAUUCAGUAAGAGGAACAUAUCAACAUCAUAUCUUAAAAACCAACUUACCACGACACAGUCGACACUCUUCUUUAACAAAAAAAAAAAAAAAAUCUCAAGUUCAAAUAGUAAAACAGAUCCAGUUUCAAAUUCAAACCCCCUCACUUGGUAGAGAAGAGUGAAAUGAACUUAAAACCACAAAAGUUUUGAAGUUCUCCUGAAAAGAAGAACAGAAUCUGUGGUGUAGGGACAUGUUGUAAGCAAAACGACAGUGUGGGAUUGGACUUUUGUUACCUUCUCGUGAGUUGGUUGGUAACUCUCCCACUUCAAGACCUUUUUUAUGGUUAAUAAAUUUAACUUCUUACUACAAGGUUAGUUUUAUAUUAUAUGAUACCGCAAAUAUGCAUGUGAACAAGAGGAGUCAUCCUAUUUGUUAAUAUUAAACCAUAUUGCUAUACAAUUUUAGUUUUACCAAGUGUCACAGAUCCCUUCGUCAACAAUAUCACAACAAUACAAAAACAACAUUUCUUGGCCACACAGAAAGUUAAUGCUCCCAAGUCCCAACCUCUCGCUAUAAUUUUACUAAAUAGUUUGUGUUAAUUUUCUUUUUCAAAUUAGAUAAUUAGUUACCAACACGCAAAGAAAACAUUCGAGUGAUUAAGAGCUCACUUGUACUUCACUCAAAGAUCAAAGUAAUUACCAUAACCCUUUUAAUCAAACUAUACUUAUUUUGUGAAGCAACCUAAUGAAUAUAUUCUUGUUCUUAUUAGGAACCCCGCCACUUCAAUCCAAGCCACUUAGUAACUCUCAAGUUAUAGCGAGCUUGGGUAUGAUCUUACCGAUCAUUCAAAGUUAUGUUCACUGACAACAAUAAAAACUACAUAUCAUGAAAAGCAAAAUCAUUACACAUAAACUCUUUUAGAAGCCCCACAAGAAACCCUUUUGAACUCAUUCGACUUCACGGCAAGAAAAUCAAAAAGCUUCAUCAAGCUCUUGUUUCAUGAUACACUCCUUGUCACUCAUCGACUCAACCACACCCUCUAUCAUCUCAUACAUCUCGUUGCUUCUCUCACACGAACCAUCUUUCGCAAUGAAACUUCGUAAUCCUUUACCAGUAUCGAUCCAGCUAGUUCCAGGGAUUUUCUUCAAUCCGAUUUUUUUCAUCUUAUCCCUUACCAUCUCAGCUUCUUCCCAUCUCCCUGCUUGAGUGCAUAGAUUCGCCAUGAUAGUGUAACUCCCUGUAUUUUCUGGUUACAAAAAUAGUAAUACUUAUAUAUAAAAAUUAAUUUUAUUUAAUAUAUUUUCAUUUUUAUAAUAGUAUAUAUAAAUUUNNNNNNNNNNNNNNNNNNNNNNNNNNNNNNNNNNNNNNNNNNNNNNNNNNNNNNNNNNNNNNNNNNNNNNNNNNNNNNNNNNNNNNNNNNNNNNNNNNNNUAUCAUUUUCGUUAAUGUAAUAGGAGGGCCAACCCAAACAGAGAUUGUCAUGAGCGAGAUAGACACACCAGAGAGCUUUCAGCUUAUGGAGUUUGGAGUUAUUUUCGAGGCGACGAAUCACUUUUCCGAAAGCAACAAAGUCGGACAAGGUGGUUUUGGUCCAGUUUACAAGGUAUUUUAAUUUCUCUAGCUAUUUGGACCGAAUCAAAUUAAACUUGAAUCGGCCGGUGACUUGUCUUUCAUUCAACUAAAAAACUAAUAAUAAUAAGGGAAAAUGUGAUGGUAUUGCAGGGAACCUUGCCUGAUGGAAACGAGAUCGCAGUAAAAAGAUUGAAAGCGAGAUCAUCUCAGGGGAUGGCAGAGUUCCGAAAUGAAGUGACUCUGAUUUUACGUGUACUACACGUGAACCUCGUCCGACUUCUAGGCUGUUGCAUCCAUGGAUACGAUAGACUAUUGGUCUACGAGUUCCUGGAGAAUUCUAGCCUCAGCAGCUAUAUCUUCAGUUACUCUCACUCUCUCUCUCUCUAUUCUAGAAUUUACUUGUUAUUUUGUAAACUUUAAACUUGAUUCGUUUUGUUUUUGAUUGAUUACCUCAGAUCAAACUAGAAGCCCGCUCCUAAACUGGGAGCAUAGGUUCGAUAUAAUGAAAGGUAUUGCUGAAGGAUUGUGCUACCUCCACAACUUCACAAGCCCACCGAUACUUCACCGCGACCUGAAACCAAGUAAUGUGCUUCUAGGCAGAGACAUGAUCCCAAAAAUCUCAGAUUUUGGGCUGGCUCAGAUGAUGGAAACUGGCACCACAGAAGCUGCAAUGGAAACAGCAGUAGGAACUUAGUAAGCAUCAACAAAUUGUUAAAACUUUCUUCUUCUUCUUUUUUUUUUUUUCACUAAAACAAAAUCACAAUCAAUUAAUUAAAUCCUCUUUUGUUUGUUUUUUGUGCAGCGGCUACAUGUCUGAAGAAUAUGCGAAAGAUAAUAUCAUGUCCCAGAAAUCAGAUGUCUUCAGUUAUGGAGUAGUGUUGUUAGAGAUUCUUACUGGAAGGAGAAAUCAUGAGUAUUGUAUUGCAAAUCCAGGAGAUAGUCUUCUCGACUUCGUAAGUUUAAUUUUUCUUUGUAUUCUUAAAAUUUUAAAGAAAAUUUAUAUUUUAGAGUUUUUUAAAAAGGUUUGGAGGCGAUGGAAGGAUGGUACUGGAUUGGAGGUCGUGGAUUCGAGCUUCCAUGAUGAUUCAUUUAUAGAAGACCAGGUUUUACGAUCAAUGAAGAUUGGUCUAUCCUGUGUUCAACAAAAUAUGCACGAUAGGCCUAGUACAAGGACCAUUGUGGUUAUGUUUGAAAAUGGCCCACGAUCAGAAAUUCUAGAUCCGACGAGACCAAACUAUAAUCUCACAAGAGCUGAUUCAUCUUCUUCUCCAGUUACCGUUACCGACCAAUCAGUCACUAUUAACGAGGCCACUUUGUCAUGCACUGACGCCAGGUGAUGUUUUUAUGUAGUGCGUUUUUCUACUAGUUUACUUAAAAAAAAAAAAAUUUGAACUAUCAUUCCUAUGUUAUGUUUAAUUUCAUGUGUUUUUUCUUCUAGUUUACUCUUUGAAAAAAUAACUACUAUUAUUCAUAUGUAAUGUUUUUAGUUGUUUGGGUCUCAGUGCGGGAGACUGAUACUUUAAUGGUUUAUCUCUUUUGCUAUGCACUUAAUGACAACGAACAUAAUAUCUCGAUAUAAUAAUUAACAACUAGGAUGAGACAAAACCAAAACCAAAACCAAAGGCAACAAGUUACAAGACAAACUGUUCAAAGUCAAUCUAAUCACAAAGAUAAACCCAGUUACAUAAUAUCCCACCUAUUUUUGUUUUUUAGCUGGUGUUUGAUCGAUGUUCUUCACCUGCAAGCAAAAAUGUGGCUUUAGCUGCUUCCUCUUUUGGUGUCUGAAAUGCUUUAAGAACAGAGAGAGAGAGAGGGAGAGCAAAAUUGUUUUACUGGGCCGCAUUCUAAAUAGUACGGCUUUGGUAAUUAUGUAAACAUAUCUUAUACCGAGACAAAUAAGAAUUAAAUUAAGUUAUCCUAUCAAUUAAUUUCAAAACCUCCACUUAGUCUAAUGAUUAACGGAAUCAUUUGGUUAGAAUAAUUAUUUAGCCAUAAACACCAAAAUCACAUGGAACAUAAGCUCAAUUACCUGUUUGGUGCCUUCAACAGAAGAAGUACGACCCCAUCUCUCAGGGGUCCCAAAGUAUGCUACUGUUGAAAGCAAAGCUUGAUAUAUGAACCGGAGGCUUUAUCUCUGUCUUGUUAUUAAUUUUUCUCAAAUGCCACCCCAAAACUUGUGAAGAUUCACAAACCGGCCUCUCUACUAUCACUCGCUUCCUAUUAGCUGAUACCAAUAUGUAUACAUUGUUUAGCCCCGCAAAAUGGACUAUCCCGCUUUGUUUGUGAUGCUCAAUGUGUCUCAACGCUAGGUUCCUUUGAUGAUCAAGCUCAAAUUCAAAGCUCGUGAAGUUUUCUUUGAAGACUAUACGUCUAUACAUUAAACCAGUUUUUCUUAACAUUGUUGGUGAAGAGUUUUCUUCAGCAUCGGAGUGUUUCUCCACGACUAUCCACAAUAAAGGAGGUGGAACUAGCCUCAAAGUAUUGGCCAUUCUCCUAAGGAGCACAAUUUUGUAACGAUCUUUCGUCAUUACCCAGAGUUACAACAAUCACUAGACCUCUUGGUGCAACUUCUUCUUCUUCUGUCUUGGAGAGUGAUCUGGUUUCUUGUUCAGGUUCUUGUGACUUCAAAGGUGCUGGGGCCUGACCUUGGGAACUGUUCAAUGCUUUAUCAACGAGAGGAUUGUGUGUAUAGGUAGAGUUCUCAAAAGGUUGGGAAGGAAUCUGAGAUUUAGUGGUAGUAGAGGGGGUGGUUUCGAAAUUAUAGAAAAGUGAAGCCUUACCAGCAGGAGCAAAGCCAGUGAUGAAACACAUUACAAAACAUAGAGAGAAAUGGAUCACAGCUUUCUUCCAUACCUGAGUUUUCUUCUUUGAUCUCUCCAGAGAUCCCAUCAGGAUCCAACCCUAAGAAGAAGUUUUUCUUAAUUAAGUGAUUUUCCUUUUAUUUUUUGGGAAGAACAAUCUAGUUUGAAGAGUAUGAAAUAUAAGGGCUUUUAUGACAUUUGUAUAGUUUUUGUCUUUAUAUUGUUGGUAAAUGAUUAAAACCGGCGAGCUACGUAGGAGUACGUUCUCUUUGAUUGAUUGCGUGUGUUGGUUGUGUUCUGCAACAACUUGUUGGGAUCAUUGGAACUCACUAGCUAGCUGAAACAUGUUUGGGAAAUAUAAGAAAAUUACUGUUAAUAUAGCAAAUAUAUUAAAAUUAAACUUUGCUUAUUAAUGACUCUUAAUGCAAGUAAUUAAGUAUUAUUUUAGUUGUUGUUGAUGACUGAUGAGUAAGGUUAUGAUCAAGAUAGGAACUUUUGAGAGUACCUAAUAUAGAGGAUAGUAGUCUUCAAAAAGUGUGAAGUGAUGAAACUUGAAGUUGAAAGAGACAAUCCAAAAAAUAAAUAUUAACAUGUCAUCGUGGUUUAUAUUAUGCACUUUAACAAAUGGAUAUCAUUUUUACCGUUAUAUCAAGCCAUGUAAAUACAUACCACCACAAACAAGUCGUUUUCUCAAGAAAGUUAGAAAAGAGAUCAAGCUGGACGAGGAGUGAGCCUAUCUUUGGCCGCCGUGUCUCCACGGUGGAGGCCAGAGGAGAUACGCAAGCAAGAAGAAGCCCCCCGAGAAACGCUCUGUUACUAACUCGGUGUUCUUGGAGCAAGAACAAGAAGAGACAAAGGAACCUCAUGAUGAUGACGUCAUUGUCGGAGAACCCAAGGUUGUGCAUUUAAUAUUCAGUUCAUUUAAUACAUCAGUCAAGUCACAUUUCCAAGAAAAUACUCCACUAACGAAGGCGUCUUUGUCUAUUUUUAAUUCGUUCCUUAACGCGUACGGAACGCGGCCCAAUAAAAUAAUUACUUUAAUUCUAUUUUAAGUCUCUGCUUCUCUACCUUCUUUCCUCUUUGUAAGAUCAGAGAGAGAGCGUUUGUUGAGAAGAUCUUAUUAGAAGGUGAAUAUCAAUCAGAACAUGGCGAAAGAAGACAACCACGAAGCUCAACGAUGCGAGUGCGAGGAUCAUGAGGAAUCGAGUCCUCUCUUGCAAGUUAACGAAAGCAAGAUCUGCUCAAAAGGGGACACCACCAAGACGGCGGAGGAAUAUGGCUGGACGGCGGAUGGAUUGCCGGUGAGCCAAGGGAGCGUGAUCGGCGAGCCGAUCGGGAGAAACCAAUGGAGUUCCGGUCUUUUUUCCUGUCUCGGCCGAAACGACGAGUUCUGCAGCAGCGAUCUCGAAGUUUGUGAGUCUUUAUGUUCUGUCUCAAUGAUUAGUGUCUGAAAUUUGGGAUUUUUUUGUUAAUGGGUUUCUUGAUUUGGUGGAGGAUGAAUUGUAAAGUUUUGAUUUUGAUGUGUUUUUCACUGUUGGUGAGUCUUGCUUGUGUUCUGUCUGACUGUCUCAAUGGUUAUUGUCGGAAAUUUUGGUUUUUUUUUUAUUUGGUAGAGAUUGAAUUGGAAAGUUUUGAUUUUGAUGUGUUUCACGGUUGGUGAGUCUUGUGUUCUGUCUCAAAUGAUUAUUGUCGGAAAUUUGAGGUAUUCCCUAAUGGGUUUCUUGAUUUGGUGGAGAUUGUAUUAGAAAGUUUUGAUUUUGAUGUGGUUCAUGGUUGGUGAAAAGACUCAAAUCUUUUACAUCUUAAUGGCUUCUUCUUUGUUAGGUCUCCUUGGAAGUGUGGCUCCAUGUGUGCUGUAUGGAAGCAAUGCAGAGAGGCUUGGGUCUGCUCCUGGAACGUUUUCGAAUCACUGCUUGACGUAUUUGGGGUUGUACUUUGUCGGCAACUCUCUAUUUGGAUGGAACUGCCUUGCUCCAUGGUUCUCUUAUUCUAGCCGCUCUGCCAUUCGCCGAAGGUUUAACCUUGAGGUAAUGAUCAAAUUAUCUGGUAUUUAAUCCGGAAAAAAACUGAAAAAUCUGUUUUUAUAUCUGAAUUAUCUGAAAUUAUCUGAGAAAAAGGAACCGAACCGAAAUUUUGUAUUAGUCAGUUUUUAACAUUGUUGCCCGAACCAAAAACGGAAAUAACCAAAACCGAACCAAAUUUCAAAUAAUCAAACGGUUCCUAUAUCUCUAGAACCGAAAAUCGAAAAAAAAAAAGAACUGGAAGUGAACGCCAAGCCUAGUUGUACUCUAAGAAAAGAGUCAAUCAACUCCUCUCUUUAUAUAUCUUCUUGGUUGUGUACCACUCUCUGAGUUUUAUAGGAGCCAUGGAGAGACAAGUCUUGUCUCAUAGGCACUCUAGUGUCUCUAGUUUUGGGCAUGUGUAUUACGAGAGUCUCCGUUGCAUUCCAUCUCGUGACCCUAUCUUUUGUUUUCUUUUGGUGUAAAAAACAGGGAAGCUUUGAGGCGAUGAACAGGUCGUGUGGUUGCUGCGGUAGCUGCAUAGAGGAUGAGAUGCAAAGGGAACAUAUGGAGACGACUUGUGACUUUGUGACGCAUGUCCUUUGCCAUACAUGUGCACUUUGCCAAGAAGGCCGUGAGAUCCGCAGGAAGGUUCUUCACCCGGGUUUCAAUGCUCAGUCCACUGUGGUUGUGCUUCCACCAAGUGAACAAACCAUGGGACGUAAGUAAGUGAAAAGCUUGCGUUGAGUCAUGUGUCCUAAAUAACAUUUGUAAUACACAAGGUGAACUAUGACGUUGUCUCUUGCUUGCUUUUGUCGCGUGUUCUUUUCUUUUUUUUGGUCUUUCUUCAGUGCAUGCAAAUGUAUGUAUAUCUUUAUUGUUACGUACUUGGUUUUGGAUAUGGUCUUGUAAUAUUCAAUAAAGUUUCGCAACUUGUAACUCUAUAAACGUGGAGGCAUUCCUUUCCGGCGGAACCUUCAUUGCUCAUAGCUCCAAACCAAAGUCUGUGAGAUCAGAUGUGGUAAAGAACGGUUCGGAGAUUCUAAUGAAAUGAAAGAUCUGUUUUUGGACCGGAGAGAUCAAGACAAAAGUGAUUGAUUGCAUUUAAUUUAUAAGACUUUUUAUAUCGCAACUUUGCGAGUCUUUAAUUGUUGCACUAGAGAUCCAUUGUAAUCAUUGUGGUUAAUUUGACUCCUUGAGUUUAUUAGUGUGCAUGUGAUAUGAUUUCUUUAGAUUUGGUUUUAAUAUACAUUUUGUGAUAAAAGGGUCAAGAUCUAUAGCUUAAUACUAUAAUUAAUGUUAAUUAGUACAUUUGACAUUUUCUUAUAGAAAUGAUUAAAUAGGUCUAUUGAUUAGACGCCAAACAAGACUGGCCAAAUUAAUCGCUGAUAAUUCAAAAGAAACCAGACGAAUUAUCAAAAGAUCUUCUAAUAAUGAAAUGAUUUGUACAAAGAGUCAAAAGGAGACACAUGGAGAAGUGCCCAACUCGUCUGGCAUGGCACCUCACUACUAAGCAAUCACGAUUUGGCUUGUGGAGUCAACGAGCUUAUGACAUUAGCUAGUUAAUUUCCCCCAAGUUGACAUCUACUUUUUAAACACAAUUUAUUUAUUACUUAUUAUACAAUUGUAGAUCUCAUCAUAUAUUUUUGAUAUGCGAUUUCUAGUAGUUUAUUGUAGACGACUGUUCUUUGUUUUCUCUUACUCUCUAAUCUGAAUCUCAUUGCAUGGUCGGCAACAUUUUUUACUUGGAACAUUUUACCAUCAAUAAUCGAAUUUUGAUAUCAUGUUAAUAAGUUCUAAAAACUUUAAUGUAUAACUUAACUUAUGUCCCUUAUACAUUACCUGUUAUUCCAUCACAUUUUGAUUUUGAAUUUGUAAGAAGUUUAUAUUUGUGUAUCAUAUAAGUUUAUGGUCUUGAAUCUAAUAGUUUUUGGUACUGUUAGUUCUAAAAUCAUUGACGAAUAUACCAAAAAAUGUGACAAGAGAUAUAUAAAAGUCCCAUCAAAUAAAUUUGGAUUGGUAGUUGUUUCGAAGUCACUCCCUAAUGUACCAAGAACAUAUCUUAAUCCAUCCCAGUUUUUGUAUCUCUUCUUAUUGACUCCAAACCAUUAACACACACACACACAUACAUACAUAUGAUAUAUGAUAUAUAUGGUUAUUAUCUUUCAUAGCAAACAUAAUCAGUUAGUUCACAUAACGACAAUCCUUCCUAAUCUCUCCUUGGUCACCGGUGAGAGGAUUGGUCUCGGACAAGAGCCUGAUAGCGCGUGAAAAUUGCUCAUGGAAGUAACCAUUGUCCGCAGCCAUCUUCGCCACAAAGGGUGCGGUCCUCGGAUCCGUGGCUAUCUCAUCAUCGAUGACAAGGAGUCCUUUAUGAGCCAUGAUGUUUUUGUAAUACAUAUUGUCCACAACCAUCGGUGUCUCAGGGUCGUUGCGGGAGUAUAAGACCUCUUUUGGGUUCGGAUUUGGAGUAGGGCAACGUUUUUUCAAGUAAAGGGCGUACGUAGGGUCGAGAGUCGGGUCAAUCGUUGGGUAUAGCCGGUGCACUAGGUUAACGCAGUGGACUCUACCCACUGAGUGUGCACCUACGGUAAUAAAAAUUGACCGAUCAAUAACAAUGACAGUUAUAUAUCUUUAUUAUCUUAACUAGUAAAUAAACUUUCCAAAAAAAAAUAUCAUAUGUAUUAUUUAAGUAUAUGGUUGAUAAAACUAUUUUAUUUUGAUUUUAUCAGAAAAUGAACCAAAAAUACCCAAAUUAUCUUCUAUUGAACCACCGGACCGUAUAAAAUUUGGUUUAAUUAACGGUGUAAAACGCACAUCUAUCCUAAAAUCUUGAACAAAUUCAAAAACCAAAAUGUCCAUCCUGGUUAGUGUUACCGUGCUGGCUCAAAUCUAUUGACCUAUGCAUUUAAAAGAUAGUUUCUACUCAGAUUUAUAACUCAGGUACCUAAGAGAGCAACGGUGGCUUCAACAUCGAUGCCGAUGGAGUUAAAGUUUGAGAGAACAGACGAGAGAGAGUCAUUGUGGUUAGGAACUAGAGCCUCAACAUCUCUCAAGUAGCUCCCUCUACUGUCUCUCCUUCCUGUCUUUAUCAUAUCUAUCUUUGGCCCUUUCAACUAUUCAUUUCACCAACCAAAAAAAAAACAUCUUAAUAAAAAUAUAAUUCCAAACUAAUUAAAUUAACCUUACAAUGCAUAUACUUACCAUGACAAUACCAUCUCUAGCAGAGAGAGCAACAAUAUCAGCGCAAGAGACUGUUCCAGGACAUUCUUUCUCGAGUGCAUCUUUGAUAGUCUUGAUAUACUUAAAGUUUCUCAUACCAAAACUCCUUGUUGACUUUUGCUCUGAUUCCACACCUCUUGCUGUCUCUAGUAGCAGUGACGCAUCACACGACUACAAAAAAAAAUACCCAUGAACAUAAAUAUUCACGAUGACUUUUUGGUAAUCAUGUUUUUAAAAAUAUUCACGAUGAUGAUGAUGCCAUGUGAUUAUAGAGUAAAUGUAAUUACCUUGACGACGCAGUCAUGGAAGAGAUUACGGAGCCAAGAUACGGCUGUGUUGCCGUGUUUGUAGUACAGCGUCUCCACUUGUUGUCUGAUUAUCUCUUCCGCUCUCGGACAACUCUCUCUGUAAUAAUUCAUCUUCAGUUCCGCAUUUCCUACAGUUUAGUUAAUCUUUAGAUUCGAUUUAAAAAAAAGUUAAUCUUUAGAUUAUUCGCUUUAUUUACGUAUGAGUGAUUACUAGCCAUUUUAUAAUAUAAUAUUUGUUGAAUUUUUACGGUGGAAAUUAGUUUACUAAAAAAAACCGUAGUUAUUUUGGUUUCAGCUAGCAAAAAUUAGAAAUAUAUUCUCGAGACAUGGAUACACGUGGCAUAAUGUGAUAAGAGAAAAGGGAAUAUAAAUUACCGAUAUGAAAGAUGGAAAAUAACUGUAAUAACAGGCAAAAGAAAGCCAAAAAGCAGAAGGGCAUCUUCACAAUGGCCAUCUUUUUCUCUCCUAUCUUUUUGUACUUUGUUGAUUGGUGUGUCUCUUUAUGUGUCCAAUGUAGGGUUAUAUAGAGAUUCAAGAGACUUGAGAAACUCUCUUUAAUCGUGUAAUAUAUAAUUAAGUAUUUUUAUUUCUUAUAGUCAUAGUGGUUGCCCAUGUUAAUUAUUCUUUUUUGAAAUUAUCAGGGGAUUUCUUAUUCUAGACGAAUAUUAAUAUUGAAGCUUGUAACCACUAGCUAUAUAUCUGAACUCAAUAGUUGUUGAACAUGUGAAUUCAGUGAGACGAGUUUUCCUAUUCUAUCCGAUGAUAAUACAAAAUUAAAUUAGUUCGGCUUUUCACUUCUUUUCACUUUUAAUUAGCCUUCCUCAUACAUGUUUCAUGUUCACAAGAUACAAAAGGAGGAGAUCUGUAAUAUAAAUUACGCUCUAACUUGUAACUAAUUGAUUGGAUUGGAUUCGAAUAAAUAAAAUCAAAAUGUAAAUGCUUGCGAUGAAUAUGUAUAUUACACAUCAACUUCAAGAUGACCGACUCAAUUAACUCCCAAUCAUGCUAAUCUAUAGGUAUUCAAUAUAUAGCAUACAAUAUUAAAUACGGUUUCACUUAUAUGAGUUCAUUCACUAAUAUAUGAGUAAAUUAUUAUUACCCGACUGCUGCAUAAAUUUUAUACCACCGAUUUAGUUUAUAGAUUCUAACAGACUUACUGACAUGUUAUAUUAUUCCAUUUGAAAUAUCGUUACCAGUCUGGAUUCUUUGGCUGACUUAAAAAAAAUAUUUUGCUUCAAUUGUGUAACAAAUGUAGAAGGAUAUUAUAGACUAGUCAUAAAUAUGUAUAUAUGCAUGGCCCAUUGUUAUACAUUUUGGGAAAAUUAUUGAAUAUAUAUUAUAUAAAAUCAUCUGAUGGUAGCCACAAUUUUUUUGUUUAAAUUAUCUGUAACAUGAUUACCGUCUAUAGCGGGUUUGCGUCAUUUCGGACAUGCGCUUGAUGCAAAAUCAAUACGACUGUGGAUGUUAAAAUGGAUAUAUUGACUUCACUAAAUGUUAAUAUCAUCAUCAGCCACUUUAUCCUUCGGCCACUUAGUCACUUGUGAUAUUUUUAACACAACACAUUGGGUGAAUUCGUAUUAUACGCAUUUAAUGUGGCACCAAGAGUUAAUUCAGACCCAUUCAUAGCUAAGCAGUUUAUAAUAGGUUGCCGCUAUUUCAACGUAUCAUUCAUCAAAAUUUGAUGUAUCUAUUUUAGUAGAAAACGAAAGAUGUUUCAUUUUAUUUGGUGUAAUAAAUCUUUAAUGCUCUUGAAUACUGCUUAAUACCGUCAGAACUCAGAACAUUAACUUUAGUUUUAAAUUAUAAUGCAAUUACUAAAACACUGCAAAUUUAUUUCAUUAUACAAUAUACAAAAAAUGAUCAUGUAUACUCUCUCUCUUUUCACAAUGAUAAAUUCCCAUUUUUGUUUUUAAAGAAUUUUAAGGUUUUAAUACAUAUUCCCUCAGUUUCGUAAAGAAUACCACUUUGACAUUUUCACACAAAUUAAAAAAAUGAUUAAAAUACAUUAAAGUUCUUAUUAGUUACACUUAAUAUGAAACAGAAAGAGUAUUUAUUAGUACUUGUUACAAAUUGCAUAUAUCAAAAUAUUUAUUAAUAAUAAAUACAUUUUUAUUUUUAUUAGUUUAAAUUUAUGUAAAAUUGUAAAAAAUUUAUAAUUGAUCACUAAACAUUAAUUAAUAUGUGUAAGAAAUGAAAAUUUAAAAAAAAUGUGAAACAGAAAGACUAUCACAUAAUUUAAUAAAUGUAAAAACUACAAGAAUUUAAGUUAAUAAUAUAUUUACGUCAAUAAUACUUAUGUUUCGGGUUGAUAUCUUAAUUCGUUUUGUAAUAAUAGCACUUUUAAAUCAAUUUGGUUAUAGAUUUUAAAAUAAAUUAUACUCAUACUUGGAAGCAAAUUAAAAAAAGGUUAUAAGAUUGCUUGGUGUAUGAAUAAUUGAAAACCAUUUUUUGUUUUUGACAACAAUUGAAAGCCAUUAAGUUUGACCUUUUUAGGCACUUGCUUAAUCGCACGCGCAUUUGAAAACCACCAAAUAAAAUCAACCCCACUUUCUUAAUAUUAUUGUGACUGAUGACGGCUGUAACAUUCUGGUCUUGACCGUCCAGUCCAUUCACUUGAACACGCACAUAAUGCUUUGUUGCCGAUUCACUUAUUUUCAUUAAAACUCAUCAUAUAAAUGAUUUCCCCUCCUUUUUCCUUUACAUCUAAAAGUCUAUGUAGUUUUUCUAGAUGCUUAUGAGUUACGCAAAACGAUCCUCUCCCACACAAAAAAACAAUAAUAUUAAUAUAUGUUUUAAUGUCCAAGUGUUUGAUUAGUGCUGCAGUUUGUAAAUAUGUAAUAAAACUAAUCAGCUUAAUUUUCUGUUUAAACAAGAAGUUUUGUAUAGAAAGACGACUUGGAUUAUAUUUUUGUAAGAAUUCUGAAUUCCUGUCGUUUCAUUCCAUAACAAUAUGUGUUAAUAUGUUCGUGUAUUAUUGACUUGUUGCUUUAUAGUUAUUUAUUUAUUCCCAAGUCAGAUUAUAUUCGUUCGGAAAAUGAACGUGACUCGUAUAUGAGUUGACCUUAUGAAUAUUGUCUAAGGCCUUAUCCAUUAGAUUAAAAGUUCAUUAUACACUUAUUAUUUGUAUUUAGUUUGAUUAUCUCCAAGGCUACAUUAUGAGCUGUUAGCUAGUAUCCUAAGUUAUGAAUAGCUCCAGAAAGGCCUUAUCCUAAGCUAUAUGAACAUUGUGAGCUAAGCUGAACACUUGCUUAGAUGUAACUUGAUCUUGUAUGUUUUCUCUAAAAGACCAAUAGCCAUCUUGUAUGCUUAGUUGAAUUUGUAUUAGGAUCUCUUAGUUGUAAGAGAUCAUAUGUUCAUCAAAUGGUUCUAUCACUACCAUAAGUUCUCUGUAAGGCCUUGUUGUUCUUCUCGCUCUGCUUUCUGCAGCCUGGUUAGUUUCCACAGGAGGCUUAUGUUCUUUGAUAGCAAAGUGAAAACCGUCCAUCUCUUCAUAGUCAUUUGGUAUAUUUGAACUUGUGAGCCAGUAGGCACAUGAGCUUCUCAGCAAGAAGAAGCAUUCUCUUUUCUUUUUUUUUCUCUACUCACCAAUAACAGAUAUUAACUUCCUUCUAUUUACAACUUAAAAUGUUAUAGUCUAUCACAUAUUUUCCCUUUAAACAAAAGAGAGAGGAAUUAUAUAUGUAUAGUUUAUCUAUCAUAUGGGUUCUUAAAAGCAUCAGGUAAAAGCAGGUGAUUUGCAGAUAGGGCAAGAGUUCUUCAAAGACAGCCAUUUCUUUAUGCACCCUCCAUGGUAGUCAUGACCACACCCUUUAAGUUCCCCCAACUCUUCUCCUUCCUUGUAUUCCUCCUAAAUGUUACCGUUACCACACCACCAUUAGACUCUUGGCACAUUUAAAUCUUUGAGACAUGCGAAUCUUACCAGGCAGAUUGCACAUUUUCUUUCCUCAUCCGUUUGAUACAAUGGGUAGAAUAUCGUCUCCAACAAGCAAGUGGAGAUUGCGCCCUUGGAUAGACCAGUGUUAACACUCCCAAUCCUUUCAACAAGAUCAAGAAGGUCCUGGAUAGUGUCAACCAUUUCAAGAUACAUCAGUUGCGAGACAUUUUGUCUGGGGCUUAGAAAAACCAAGAGUUCUGUAAUUAACCUCGUAGGUCAUGUCAUCGAUGUCGAGCCUCAAUUCUCUGUGGUGAUCAUGCAUAUUCCUGGAUCCAUAGUGCUGUUGGUGAUCUACAGCCAUAAAUCCCUGUUUUUGUACAUCCACAACAAAAUAAUAGAAGAAAGUUCAGUCUGCAGCAGAAUAAGAAACAUGAGAGUCUAUGUAGGCAAGUUUCUGAAGUGUUGGUCCCAUCAGUUUAUUGGCAAGUUUGGUAGGGAAAAAAAUUACUACACCUGAGAUGAAAAUGGUUCAUGGAGAGCAACUUCAUCGAAAGGAGGCUGAAACCUCUCAUAGGAACUCCUGCGUCUCCCUGGGCGAUCACUGCUACGCCAUGAGAUGUGUGGUGGUGGCCUCAGAUGCCUAGAAGGAUAUGUCUCAGUGACAAAAGGAGACCUAUCUCCAGAAGAAGAUGCUGAAUGUUCCAAUCGCAAACCGUUUGAAGAAGAUCUAUAGGUGGGUGUUGACCUAUGAGAGAAGCGGGAGCUAGUUGCAGAUUGUGUUGAAGUUCCAGGAAAACCGUGGGAAACUGUAGAGUUUCUGUUUCCGAUUAGCCCUUGGUGAUACCAAGAGGUAUCAACAGAUGUGCUGUUGGCGACACUUCUCGUGGGAAGAAAAUUAUUUGUCUUUGGACUAAAGCCAUUUAAAUCUGCAGGGUGAGAAUUCAUGUGGUUAAAGAACGUAGUCAGUAAAAAUUUGAAUCUCAAGAGAGACCAAAGUGAAAUUUGCAUACCUCUAGGUACUGGGGAGUGUCUAGGAAAGUUCCAGUUCCAGUCCUUAUUCCUGUGAGAUGUUUGACCAGGAAACUGACCUGAGCUAGAGUGAUCAACAUUGUGAUGUGUAGGAUGAGAAUCAAGGUCCAAGCUUCUUGAAAAAAUAUUUCUAUCUACACUAGUCUCUAAAUCAAGUGUAGGACGACUCCGGACAUUCCUUGAAGAACUCUCUCCCCUGAUCGAGAGAUUAUUACUUCUGUAACUUGGGUUCAUGAGCCACGGCAUGUAAUGAGGACCAUGAUCACGAGUUGUUGAUUUUCCCAUGUCCAACUCCGAGGAGAAAGGGAUAUCUGAGGAAGUUCUGCCACCGUGGUAAUGGCUUGAACUACCCAUUUCAUAGACGGAAGAAUCGCAUGGGGUUUUCCGCUUCUGUGCUCCUCUCACAUUUUCCAUAUGUAGAUCAACAUAGCCAUCCAAUGACCAUGUCUGACUGUUGCAGUACGAAGAAGAUGCAGAUGUCACAUAAUGUUCAAGUGGAGCAGAGAAAGUUGCAGCUGCUGAACUCAUGACAGGAACAUGGGUGGGGCCGCUAGUCCCUGGAUUGUAGUGUAGCCUCUCUACACCAUGACCUGAAGCAGUAUACGCAUUUGGUCCUGUAGAAGAGUUCCAGUGCGAAGAAAAUGGCAUUCCUUCAUUCAACACGUUUCCUGCUGGAUUAACAUGCGAUCUGCUCUCACUGGUCCCAGUUCUUGCUGAGAUAACAUAGAGCGAACAAUAAUACGAAUCAGAAAUUCCGGACACGAUUGCACAGGAAAAAGUAGAAUUAUGUAUGUGAUGAUUAUAAAAUGUGGCUUCCUAAUUUUCACUACCUGAGGGUAUCACCUAUCAAGAUUCAUUUUUGCCCCUACUGAAACCCAAUCUACCCAUGAGGGAGAAACUUCUCAACCUAAAAAUACGCAUGCAACAUCAACGCAAUAGCUCUUACACAGGUUGAGUAUAACAUCUAUCCAUGAAGAACGUGUUAAAAAUAUUGAUUUCAACCACAGAAUAAGGAUCUCUAUAGGAAUGGAGAACUAAUUACCUAAACUCGUAUAUGGGUGCUCUGGGUGUAUAUGGUUCCAGCCUUGAUCCUGUUCAUCAUCGAAAAAUUGGAAAGAGCCAGGAAAAUGUCUGUGCCCCAUGAUUACACAAAUCUUCAACCUUGGAGUCCAGCUAACCCUGCACAGAAAGUUCUCUCAACAUUCAGAACUCAUCCAGAAAAAAAUUUGCAAGUCCAUAAAAAUAGUUCUUAAUUACUAAGCAAUCUCAGUUUCAAUUCAAGAAUGGUAUAUAAAGUAACAUCUGCUUUAGCUCAGAAGUACCAAAUGGUUGCUGAAAACGAGUCACCCAUCUAUUUUCAGUUUUAUAGUCACAUUUCAAGACCAAAACUCCAAUUUUUGCAACUGAAGAACCUUAACCAUCGCCAAGUUAAGAAACAAAGUUUCUUCAACCCCACACAUGAGCAUACUCAAGCUGUAAGAAACGAUUUAGAAUAUGCAUAGAGAACACUACACAGUAUUAGGACGGACAUCAACUUCAGGUAUAAAGGAAACUGACAAUGGUAUAUUGAUAGAGAUUCUUUAUCAGAAGAGAGUCCAUAGUUUCAAUACCUAGUAUCAAUAUAGUUGAAAUAUCUAGUCUCAGUUACCUUUGUCACCCGUAUCUAACAUACUAUACCCUCAGAGCUCAGCUCAUGAUAUCAUAAAAACAAGUUUUCGAAGAGUUGGACUGGAAAGUUCCUGAUGCCUUAAGAUGGGAAUAACCUUAACUAGUACAUAUCUAUCAGCUCAUAAGGGUAUCUUGCAAUCAAGAGUUAAUAAAUAAAACAGAAACCUACAUUUUCUCUUUGUGUAAGCCAAAAGAAAAUAAGAGACACAAAACAAGCAAGAGUGUUCUCUAGUACAUUGGCAUAAGAAGUUCAUUUAAACAAGACAUUUACUCAGGUUUAAGAACUUCAUAAAUUUUACAGAAACAGUCCACCGAGAAUAAGGCAAGAAAGAACAGAUACAGAACAGAUAACAUUUGAUAUGACCAUUUCAGCUUCUAUCAACACAUACAGAACAGAUGCAUACUGCUGGCAUGAUCAAGAAAAUUACAUGGAUGAUUCAACAGCAGGAAAUAAGUUUAAUUUUCUGAGCCAAAACCCUCCAACAAUACUACUGCAGGCAAAUUAAACUCCCAACCAAGAAUACACUAAACUACACAAGUGAAAAAGCCAUCAUCCUUUCCUGAUCAACUGAUUCACCAUUUCCACACACCAAAUGUAAUUUCUUCUCUUCAAGUUCAGAAUCAUAACGGGCUUAGUCCACAGAGUGCUGGCCAGCAAAGGCUUACCACCACAUUCUACUAUUCUGAAGCUUUUACUUAGUCAAAACCUGCCAUCCGGCCCAGCACACCUAGAUCUACUCCAAGAGCUAGUAAGCAGAAAUGGGUUGUGUGAAAGGAUGCUUCUAAGCAAUUUGCUUUAUGCUUCAUAGGAUGGUUGUCAUUUCGCAAGAAAUAUUGAAGUUUUUACCUUAAUUCACACUUCAAGCAUCACUGACUAAUUAACACAUUCAGUUAUGAACGUGGAAUCAAAAGAAGGGUGGUGGAAGAACUGGACCAGACAAACUUCACAAAGCCUUGACUACCAUAAACAUAGUUAUCAGCCAUAAAACGUAAAUGAGUAAAAAACUAACCACGCUAAUAGAGUUUGGUUGACUUAUCUUACUUCAAGUUCACGUUGGUUUCUCAAUCAACCAACAAUCUGCCAAAAUAGAAGGAAAACGGCAGCCACCGAUUCUAUGUAUUACAAAGGCUUAGCAUAAGGCACUAACAUCUGCUGACAAAAGUGUUAGAAUAAUACAUUUUCUCUGCUACAAUUUCAAAUUUUCUAUUAUAUUUUUGAGAAAAAAACCAAAAUAGCACUAAAUCAAGUUUUUGUUCCCAAACUAGCACUCAAGGCCAAAAGUCACAAAAAUAGCACUCAAGAGAUGGGGUUUAGGGUUUAGGGUUUAAAGUUUAAGUUUUAGGGUUUAGAGUUGAGAAGUGAGAUUUUGGAGAUAAGAUUUCAAAUUUUGAAAAAUAAAAAAGUUUAAAUUUUUCAAAAGAUAAAAUGCUAUUUUGGUCAUUUAGUUUUUGAGUGCUAUUUUUGUGAUAUAAACUUAGAAAAGUACUAUUUUGGAGAUUUGCCUUAUAUUUUUUCGAUUUUUUUUUUUUUGAUUAUACAAAGUUUCCCUAAAGGCUUCCUAAGGGACUAAUCUGUGUAGCUGCAACCCGAAUGUGAAAUCCGCAGUGGCCGGGAAUCGAACCCAGGUGGCGGUACUCACAGCUGUGAGCCUCUGUGAGCUAAACGCCCCGGUUUAUUUUUUCGAUAUUACUAAAGAGGAAGACGUAUUUGCUGACCUUAAACUAUAUGGACGUUACUAGUUCAAGACUGAGAGAAACCAUCGUUGCCACUAAACCUGCUGGAUACAAAGCCUAGCUAGUUUGAUGCUAAAUAGGAAACUGCUCAAACUAGCUCUAUAUAGCUUAGCCCCGUCGCUGAAGUAGCCUGAACUAAUCACCGAUCUGGUCUCCUCUUCUUCUCAGCAUCCGAAUCUCUAACUACGAUUCAAACAAUCCAAUCACGAAAAGUCACUCAUGUAGCAGACGGAAGCAAACAAUCAUCACGCAAAAGGAAAACAGAUGAUCCGUCGUAACAGCGUUUAAACAAAUCAUUGGUGAAACUGCAAUCGAUUUGAGCAUAUAUAUACAUAUUUACACGAAAACCUCAGAGCUCAAACGAUGAUCGGAGAAGAGAGAAACGUACCGCUAGCAGCGUGCGGAUGAUGGAGAAAGGAGAACGAUCGGAGGAUUCAAAGAGACGACGAACGGAUUCGUAGAGAUGACUCAGCUUGAGGAUUGUGAUCGGUUGAUAUAUUUAAGAGAGAAAGCAAAUGAAAAAAUGAUAAAACAAAACAAUUUAAUUUAAAAGCGAUUGGGUGGGUACGUUGCUGGAAAAUUUAGACCACCACAGCAUCACCGGCUGAUUAAUGGGCGUAGAUUAAUGGGCCUAUAUUUUGACUUUAUAUGGGCCUCCACUGGAUCAGCAACUAUCCCUUCUUCUUUUUUUGUCACCAGCAACUAUAGCAUUGUUCACAUAGUGCAUUAUGUUGCAUCUGACAGAUUAUGAGCAUAUAAUCCUUGAAUCUGCUUUGUAGAAAGCUCUUAGAAAUUUAAUUUUUCCAUUGUCUUUGCACGUGCUGUGAAAUUUUGUGUUAAUUACGCAUAAAGUUUGAUUCGUUAGAUUUAGUCCAAAGUAAACAAUAUGGAUACAUAGUCCACAAUCCCCCUAAAAUGGUUAUUUCUCAGAUUUUGACAGUCUUAAUUUGAAGACAAUUUGGAAGAUGAAGUUGCAGUGAAACACGCAAGCAUUGCAUUGCUUUUUUCUCUUUCUAAAACCAAUGGAAGUACAAGGAAGUGGAGGUGAAUCAAUAACAAUAAACCGUGUGCAUUGCCGAGAUUAUAUAGUUUGUGAUUAUACCAUUUUAAUACAGAGAAGCUGCAAAUACCAAAUUAAACCAACGCAGGUUUGAGGUUCCUACGUCAAGUUCAACCAUUUCAUUUCUAGUGUAAUUUCUCUAUUCAAAACAACUAUAGAAAGGUCCACUAGACAUGGCAGACGAAACAAUACCCCAAUAACAUUGUGGCAUUACGAAAGUAGCAAAGCAAAGCAUAAGAUAAAAUAAAAGCGGCAUUAUAACAAACCAAAACAGACUUGUUCUUGUUCUUAACCGAAACAUAAAAGCUAAAACCUCAAAAGUGAAAAUAACCGAACAAAACACUUAAUCUCAAAUUCCCUUUUUUUUUUAAAUUAAUUAAUUCUCAGGAAUCUCAACCUCACCCUCUUGAAUCUCCUGCUGGAUAUCCUUGGAAUCUCCUGCUGAAUAUCCUUGGGAUCUUUCCCAUCCACAGUACACCCAACAGACACACACGUCCCAAGAAUCUCCCUCACGGUCCCGCUCAGCUCCUUCGCAAUAGACCUCGGCCUCAUGAUCCUCGCGAUCUCAAUCACGUCAUCGAACGAAAUGUUCCCGUUGUGCUUAAUGUUCUUCACCUUCUUCCUGUCCCUCUCCGGCUCCUUCAAGGCCUUGAUCACCAGCGCCGCCGCCGAAGGCACCACCGUCACUUUCGCCUGGCGAUUCUGCACCGUCAGCUUCACCGUGACGCGGAGCCCCUUCCACUCCUUGGCCGUCUCCUUGGCGAUGUCUUCUCCGAUCUUUUUGGGAGCCAGACCGAGGGGACCGAUCUUGGGAGCGAGGGAACUCGCGGCUCCGACUUCUCCGCCGGUCACGCGGACGUAGACGUCCACGAUCUGGCUCGGGUCAAGCUUCGGCGGCAUGGCUGUCUCGGUGGUUAAACGGAGUUUGAUUAGUUUUUUUUUUAAGUGGAGUCCGGAGACGAGGAGGCGGUUGAAGACGAGCUCCAAAGGCUUUUAUUGAGGUCGACACUAGGGUUUACGAAAUGAUGAAUUUACUACCCUUGUAAACAUAUAUGGGCCUUAAGAGAAUGAUCUUAUGGGCUUUAUUUUAGACUAUCGGUUCUUUUACGGUUUAGUAAAUAAUAAAUCCCCGGUUUGAUAGAACCGGUUUACUUCCGUCGCCUCUUUGCUCGGUGAGAAUUGCCUAAAAUAUUUCCUCAGUUUCGGAAAGAAGUAUAUUUUAGUUACCAAUAUAAUUUUAAUAAAUAAAAUUAUGUUUUUUUACUGUUUACGAUUAAUUUAUGCAUUGAAACCGUAAAAAUGUAUUUUUCUUGAAACGGAAUUUUUUUCUAAAAUAUGGAAUUUUUUGAAACGCAUGGCUUUUAUUAUACUAAAAUAGUGAAAGUGACGUCACUUCGUUUAACCGAUAUGAUCAACAACAGAAGCAUAUAGUUUUGACAAUAUACUGGGAAACAUUUACUUUUUGGAACUUUCUGUUAUCUUAUGUGUGUUAUUUAAUUAGUGGGUGGCUAAGGACCAGAAGUUGAGAAAGAAGGAAGGGAACACAGCAAGCCAGCUGAUGAAUGCCAUUGCUGUGGCGGUCUGGAACCUUGUGCAGUGGCUGCCAUCACAUUUAUCAAGAUCGUUGAUGAGUACGGUUAUGCCAGCAGACGCAGAUGCAGCUGCAAACGUAAGUAGGCAUGUGAUCUGCAAGGGAUGAAAAUAGACAAAACAGUCACUUUGUUGCCUUCUUAGAAACUAACUUUAAACAAUAAAGAGAGAUGUUGAUUUCGUUCUUACUCCAUCUCCAACUGUGAAACAUCGAACAACCAAGUGAUUCCGAAGGCUUCUUCCCACCAGAAGAGCAUAAGCAUCGAUGAUAAAAAGAGACAAGCUCCACAGGCUUUGCAAGCUAACCGCAAAAACCAAACCACUGUCACAGUUUAUAGAUAUGUUUUGUCAGAUUCAUAUUUUUCCGUAAACCUUAGGUCUAAGAGUUGGAUUUUACUAGAAUGCGGUGAAGGAGUGGAAGUCGGGGGUGGUGAGCAUGACGGAGAGGGAGAUGAGAGAGGAGACGAACUGAGAGAGGCGGAGGAUGAGGCCGCCGGUGGUUCCUGGCAUGCCCUGAAUAUCUUUCAUCCUCACUGGCGGUCUAUCGUUGGCUCCGCCAGUAGGACCCACGGGGACAGCAAUUACCGGACGAACCGCCGGUCGGCUCACGUUCAUCAUGUGAAAGUGAGUCACUCUGAUAACACACACACAAAUGAGGAACUAACUCGACUGAGUUUGCUAAACUAAUUUCCUAAAGACAAAGACUUAUUCAACUAACUGAAUCUCUAACACAUGUAGGACUUUCGAACGUUUACCGCAAAAGUUCAAACAGACCCACCUUGUAAGACACGAAACUGCUACUUUGGCUGUCUGAAAAAUGGAAUUAGUGUGGAUUUUUUUUUUGGUCCACGAGUUAAUUAGUUAAUGUGAUGUGUUUUGACAGAAUCGACCCAAAACAUAGUAUUUAAUGUUCCUAACUUUUGAUAUCUAUUGACUUAGAGUAACCGACUUUGAAAGUUAGUAUAAAACAACUGUAGAAACUUUUAAUGUGGCUUACUAGAUUUUUGGUGCUAUUCUAAAGUAUUUAUGUUUUUAUAUUAUUUAUUUCAAAUAUGUUAGACAUAAUAUUAUAACUUAUUAGUACUAUUUUCGACAGUUUAUGUUAUUACUUUUGAAACAGAUUAUAUUUAAAUUAGUAGUAUAUAUUAAGCUAGAAAAACACUCGAAAUUUAUUUGAACACUUAAAAUAAAACUAUAUUUUUUGUUUCUUAUUCUUUUCCUGUGUUUAUUUGUGUUGUAGUAUUGAUAAUUGACUAAAUAAAUACAAACAAGAAAAUGUGAAACUUUUGUUGGUUACAGAACAGAGUUGAUGAUCUUACAGAGAAUUAAAGACAUUUAGUUUGGGGUUAAAAAGACAGUUCUAAUCAUUUACAACAAAGAACUUCCACCGAACUGGAAAUUGUUUUUACUUUACCCCAACUAAUCGGGAUCUAUUCCUUCCAUUUUUAGUAAGAUUAAUAAAAUCGUGAAAAUCUGACAUUUUCAUAUCUAUAUAUAAAAUCUUUAAAUAGUUAUCUAGAUAUAUUUAAAGUUAUCUAGAUUUUUUUUUUUUGAAAAAGUUAUCUAGAUAUAUUAGAUCUUGAUAAUAAUCAUUCUCCAGCCCUUUCCAUCUCCCAGCAGAGCUUAGACGCAACACUUUCAUGGGAAGGUGCAUAUUCCUGCAAAAUGACAACAACAACGUUUGAGAUUAUGUAGAGACCCAGAAACAAUUCAUUUUCUUCAAUUUACCUCAAGCUUCUUCACAAGCUCUUUAGCAGUAGGUUCAGAGACUAUGAUCUCACGAGCAGUCGGGCUGAUGAAUCCUUCUUCAACGGCUUUAUCGAUGAAUGAAAGCAGCGAGUUGUAGUAUCCAUCAACGUUGAGUAAACCCACCUGCAGAAAGUUUGUUUUAGUGAUUUUGGAUUCUUGAAUUUUUCCAUUUGAAGUAAGAAUAUUAGGGAGGUUUUUUUUUACAGGCUUGUCAUGAAUUCCAAGCUGAGCCCAAGUUAUGACCUCAAGCAAUUCUUCAAGUGUUCCAUAGCCUCCUACAAUUAUCGCACAAAAUUUUAGAUUUGAUUUGUCAAAAGAGAGCAGGUUAAUCUGUUACUAUGAUAUGGUCAAAUCAGUAGGUGUGUCAUGUACAAUACAAAACCAAAUAAUAGAGUCCUCUCCUCUCUGUUACUGUUUUGUACAUUGGUACUGACUAUGAUUACAAAAGCAGGAUCUUGACUUUCCAUUAAUGAUUUCAGAUUAAGUGUGGGCCAAAAAAUGCCAUUUGUGGGACUGUUUCAAGUUUUGUCUCUUAACUUGAAAAGGGCAAAGAAAAAAAGUUUGGUCAGAGUAAGACUACACAAGCUAUAGAGAGAGUACCCCCUAAGUUAAAAACAAAGCAGAGCAAUAACCAGAGUAAAAGAAAAGGAAAAAGGUAUAAUUCUAAGUGCCAGAUGUUGAUGGUUAAGGCCUUUUAUCUUACACUCUGGUGACUUUAAAUAUUUAGAUUUUUUUCAUUUCAAAGAAUAAUUAAAAAUAAAAAACUUUUCACAGCAGCUUUCACACUGCAGCUUGACCAAAACAUAAUGUUUUUUUUUGUGUAACUAAGAAAUCAUGUUUUUACCAAACUCUUUUCUUCUCUUUUUUUACAAAAUCAGUCCAGAAAAACAAACUUUUUCCUUUACAUGAACAAACCCUACUUUGAAACUUUGAUUACCCAUUCAAAUUGUUUUAAGAGGCUAUUCUUAAAAUUCUUUGCGUCACUAGGGUUUUGACAAGUUUUCGUAUGUUAUCAUUACUUACAUUGAAAGAACAGCAAAAUUUUGAGGUUUAGAAAUGUUUUUUGAGAAAGAAAACAUUUGAUUGAAAAUUUGGGUGGAUUGGGUUUAAAACAAAACCUGGUAAGGCAAUAAAAGCAUCAGAGUGCUUGGCCAUUUCAGCUUUCCUUUGGUGCAUAUCUGCAACUGCUCUUACUUCUCCUACUGUUUCACCAGUCAACUGCAAAAAACAAUGAUCAUCCACCAUUUUAAAAUAAAUAAAAGGAUGUUAAUUAAAAGUAGUUAAAGGGCAAAAGCAACUUUGGGCUCUUCUACAGGCAAACGCAAUGAUGUCACCGCAAGUAGUCGUAAUGUUUGGAUGUUUUUGAAAUCUCCUACAGAACCCUAACAUCUAGUUAACCUCUUUCUAAUCAUUUUCUUCAUAUAUCUUUUAUUCAGAUUACGGUAACCAAAUGAGGAUAUUUAUAUUUUAGGACACCUAAACUACUCGCAAUCAUGAGAUUUAAGAAAAGGUAACAAACAGGGAGAAGAGUAAAACCUAAGCAAACACCGAAGAUUAAAAUGGUUUUGAAUGGGAAUUUGGAGAACUUAAAAGAGAAAUUAAAUUAACAAAGAACAAUGUUUUAUUUUGAAAUUUUCUUCUUUGAAAAGUUCAUACCUCUCUAGGCAUGAGGGUCUUUGGAAUUAUUCUGCAGAGUGACAACAAAAGGACAAAGUUGGGUUUUAUUAGAAAUAUUCAGCAAUAUAAUCCAACACUUGUGUUCCAUCAGAAUCUCAAAAGACAGUUUUCUUUUGUAUGAUCUGAAGCUUACAAAGUUGUCAAAUAGUUUAAAGUUAUUUGACUAAGAAAAAGUUACCCAAUAACAUGACGACCACCAUUAUGAACAGCUUGUGAAACCAAACCCAUCAAGCCUAUGCUCCCACCUCCAUAGACUAGAUCAAUUUUCCUUGAGACCUGCAGAACAAAAAAAAAAACAGAGUUACACUUUUUUUUUUUUUUUUGUCACAAAAACAGAGUUACACAUUAGCCUAAACUUGAUGAUAAGUAGAGCAAAAAUCGUGUAACAAACCAGAACCAGAAUAUUCUGAAGUUAUACCAUCUGGCACGUUUCAAAGAAGAAAUAAAUGAAGCAAAGAUGCACAUCAUCUUAUCUCAAAACCAACCAGCAUAAUCAAAGACAUAAAUACGUUAAAAGUCAUGUAUGUGUUACCAGUUCGUUGCCGAGAUCUACAGCAGCAUCUUGGUAACUACUCUUCUUGCCUUGGCUGCUUCCACAGAAGACACAUAUUCUUUUGAACUUUGACUUUUGCAUCGUUUCAGCUUUGAUCUCCAUUGAAUAUGAUCCUAAACUUAUGAUAAAAUAUAAAACUUCUCCAGAAAGAGAAAAGGUAAACAAUUUUAAGGUUUCUUUCAGCACAAGAAUCUAAUUUCGCAAGACAGUUAUGAGUGACAAAGAAACCUAACUAAAUCUGAAAAAAUAAUUUAUUUUGGGAGUUGUUUUUAUCCUCACCACUAAUGUUUCCUGGCUCAAGGGUUGUUGUUAUAUAUAUAGUGCGUCAUCGAUUUAAGCUUACUUAUUUUAAAUUACAUUCUUUUUGAUGUUUACUAAAGCUAGCAGCCUAGCACAACAUUUAAUAAUACAAAUUUAGAAAAAAAAAUAGAAGGCUUUCGUUAAAAAGUUUAUUUUUUUGUUUGUUUGAAUACUUCAUUUCUGUUUUAUUCCCCAUAAAAAAAAUAUUUUUGACCAAAAUCUUAUAAAUCGUUGAUUUGAAUAUUUAAUAAAAAUCGAUAUUUUUUAGAUUUAUGUUGAGGUCUUUACACGGGAGAAAUUAAAGCACGCGUCUUUCACUACCCGCGCGGCACGCGUGACCGAAUUCUUCUUUGUGUUAAUUUUCCCUUACUAUAAAAUCACGUACAACAAUGAUAGACUAGUACCAUAAACCUUAUUUAUGGUCGUAAAUAACAAUUUUUUUUGUUACUUGAGAGGAAUUUGGAUCAAACCGUAAUCUCCGCUUAAACCUGAAACCAUGUGUCCAUGCAUUGAUAAUAGUUUAUGACAUGGCGUAGAACAUUUCUUUCCAUAUAAAUGACAAUUCUUCGUAAUGGACUUUAUGGUUAGACUCACAAUCACCCAACUAGAUAGAAAUGCCAUGUUAAUGCAGGCUAUAUCUCACAAGGAAUUAUUAUCAGUUGUGUUCUUUGUUGUUAAAGAUCAUAUAUAUCGUGUUUAGACUUCAUAACCCCCUCUUAUGAUUUCGUAAAGAAAGCUCUCAGUGAUUAAAAAAAAACUGAUUCAGUAAAGCUUCGUCAUUUUUCGUUCUUAAUCAAGAAUAGGAAAAAUAAUUAAUUUUCUAUAUAAAAAUAAGAAAAAUGGACAGCAUAUGUGGACAGUGUAAGAUGGGUACAAACGUUAUUAACUGAUACUCUUGAAAAACAAAUAGAGAAAGGGAAAAUAAAUAACCAAAAAUAACCAAGACAAAGGCCACACUAAUAUUCUAAUGGAACCAUGUAGAUGUCAUGGAUAAACCAAUGAGAUAUAUACACACUCACUUAUCUAAAGAGAUAUAUAGAAUGAAUAAGUUAAUGAGAUGAUGAUGUCUGGGAUAUGGAGCAAUGUGCCAUUGAUGAUUGACAUAAGAAAACAAAGUGAUGGCUUAUGUUACCAGUGUAGCCUAAUUCACCCUCCCUAUGUAGACAACCUUCUUCUUGUUCUUUGCAUAGAAAACGUUUCUUCUAUUUUUAUUCCCCUAUAUUCAUUUUCACCAUCCUAAGCUAUAGUAUGGAGUUGUGAUAUAAAAUUCUUUUAAUUUUUUUAGACUAUUAUUUUUGUCUUUCUCUUUCAGAAUAAAGUAAUCAUUAAAUCAUCGUUGAAUUAUUUAAAGUUAUGAAUUCAGAAACAUAUGCAAAUUAUCGCCUUGUGAAAGAAUGAAAAAUAAAAUUUCUUGUUACACUUCCCAUUUCAGGAGAACCUUUUAUAUAAUCUUGAUUUAUUGAAAAAUCAAAAAUUUAAAACCGAAAGCUGAGAGCUAAAACUAAUAAGAAAAAAAAAACACUAGUUUCGUUAAGACUCUAUCGUAACCCUAUUGACAUGUUGGCUUGGAAUACCAGGAACCUCCCCAACACUCUUAUACUUAACUGUAAGCAAACACUUACAAUAUACUUCAGAUCAUAUAUAUUUGUUUAUAACAUGUGUAUAUAGCGUAUGAGUAUUUAAAUAAGAAAAUAAAAUAAUUACAAUCCCAAGAUCUGAGUAGAUGCAACCCAUUCCUUCUAUAAACAAAUAAGUAAGUUUGUAAAAUAGUUUGUAUUAGUAUAUCUGCAUGCUUGCAUGCGCAUUUUUCUCUUGUUUUUCUUUUUCAUCUCUAGUUUCACUUCACAUUCUUCUUGGGUUUUUCACUUCCGACCCAAUUUUUAUUUUAUUAUAAUAACCAUGACGAUGGUAGUGAUACCACAAUUUAAUCAGAUAAUACUUUCAUGCAGUCCAAUUUGAAAGUGUUAAAUAUUUGAAAAUGAGCACAAGAGGUUUUAUAACUCGAAUCUUUUUAUAGUCUGUACAGAAAAAAAAAACAAAAAGACAAUUUUAAAGGUGGACGUUUGAAGAACAAAUUAUCCUUUUUACAAAAGGUUAAUAUCUGUCUCCAAUCGAUUUUGACAUGAUUUCAAAGACAUAUAGUGACAUAGCAUUAACGAACAUCUAACGGAAUCCUAAAUCACUUUAACUAAAAGAAGUUCAUAAAGAAAGAAAAAGUAUUAAGUUAGUCAUACAACUAGUUCAUUCUGUUCAUAAAGGGGUUCUAAGUAUUUAUAAAUAUCAAUUUUUCUUGGAGUGGUUCUCAACCUUUUCAAACAGGUCAACAUUUUUUACUUCCUUUUAUAAAAGGUUUUUGUUAAAUUAAGAAAAGUUCUUUCGAAAGAUGAAACUUGAAUCCUUUAUAUAUUUACUUAUCAGUUAAAGAAGUUCAUUCAUAUUAGACCCAAUACAAUUUUGUUCAUAAAGGGGUUCUAAUUAAGUAUUUAUAAUUAUCAAUUUCUAUGCAGACAUAGGAAAGGCUCCGCGCUUUCUAAUAAAUAUAUAUAUGGGUUAUUAUAUAUCCAUGCCUGACAAAAAGAAAAUGCUUAAUUUGAUUUAAUUUAAGAUUAAGGAGAUGAAGAUGAAAAAAUUAUUAACCCAUAUUAUUUUUUCAUUUAAGCUCUGGCUGUAAAAAAGCUGAACAACUUUUACCAUAUUAUUUUUUUCCGAAGUAUAUUAAAAAGAAGACAAUAUAUUUAUUCACUGUUUUAGGUUUUGUUCCAAGCUAUCACCACUAUUUUGUCAGUAGUACCAUAGAUUCAUGAUUAAAAAUGACUCAAAACCUUUCUUAAUAAAUAAAUUUUAAACCUUAAAUGAAAAACUUAAGCCAAACAUAGUAUCUCAAUAUUGUCUAUAAUUUCUUAAAAUAAAGGAUAAUAUCCUCACACAGUUUUUUGUAGUAGUGUUAAAAAGAACAGUAAUAGUAUAUUCGGAAUAAAAACCUUUUAAAUAUAGCAUCUACGGUAUUUUUUUAGCUUUUAUGAACUAUUUUAAUGAUUUAUUCUUGUUUUUGUUGUUGGUAAACAAAUAUUUUGAGAUGAUUUGUGUAUUGGAUGCAAACGGCAUAUUUAAAUUAAGGAAAUGCUAAUUGGGAGGCAGGAUAAAAUUCUUAUUAAUGUCCAUCGAAUUUUUUUUAUUAAAAAUGUUUGAAUAUGUAAUGUGCAUUGGAGUUAACUAUGACAUAUUCUUAUUACGGGUUGGUUUUGUCGUUGAAACAAACAAGAACGUUAUAUUAAGUUCAAAAAACAAACAAGAUGUUAUGGAGUCACACAACACUAUUUCGUACAGAAAUGAUACCUCUAGUUUUUAAAUGUAAUUUUUUUCCUACAAUUUUGACAUCUUUUAAAAGGAUAGUCCACGUAUGAGACUAUGUUAUGAUUGCAUGGGUAAAUACUUUAAUGUACAAGACGUGAAACUUAAUGCAAAACUAUCAAUAAAGGUCGAUAUGAUUCUUUAAACCAAAAAAAGUUCGAUAUGAUUCCGACAAUAUUUUAGAUUUAUGACUUUGAAACCCAAAAGGAACAGACAUUUACCACUUUGAACCGAAAAUAGAACCCCCAAACUUGUUUUUUUCCUCAACGGACCAACGUUAAAUCCACAAAUUAAGGAAUUGAAGAAAAGAGGAGACAAAAAAACAAGAAAGGAAAAGGGAAGAACAUGGAUUUGUAAAUGGUGAAAAGAGGGACAGUCAAAGGUCAGAGAGGGACAAAUCAUUUGUUUAGUAGUUAUCAUAAAGUGUCGGACAGUUAAUACCGUUACUUACGAGUCAAAUGUCUCUAUUACGUUUUCACUUAUCACUAGUUAGUGGUAACUUACUUAAAUUACUUUUUCAAAAAAAAAAAAACUUACUUAAAUUACCCUCCCAUCAAUCGAUUUAUAUUUUCAAAAUUUCUGUAUUGUGAAAAAGCCAUGCAUUGUUGACGCAAUUUUUUGUUGUUGUUACUUGUCAACUAUUGAUACGUACUACUAACCAUGUUAUGUAUACAAUGCAUCUUUACAUAAACCUCUUUCAGUAGACUAAAUUCACAUUCAAAUCUUUUGAGUUAAACAUGUUUAAAUUGGAAAAUAUUGAGAAAUAAUAACAAUAAAUAUUUAUUGCCCUUUUCAAAAAUAAAAAUAAAGAUUUAUGGUUUUUAGUAAUUACUUGAACUAAAUUUGUUAAAACUUACAUAUACUUACUACUUAGGCAGAUAAAUGACAACUUUUAAAACAGUUAAAGGACAACUUUACGUAUACAGCAUGUAUGUAAGGAGUUUAUGAAGACAAAAGGAGGAAAGAAUCUAACUUAUAGCAAGAAGAGUGGUGAACGUAAGAUGGAGAGAGUGAACAGUCAAAAUACAUUCAUUCAUUCCUUUGUUUUUUUUUCUCUUUUAGAAAUUAAAAUUUAUGUCGUUUGUUUUUGGGACAUUACCUACGUUCAUUUCAACUCUUUCAACCUUUCGGUCAUCUCUAUACGAAUAUACCCCCAUUUGUUUUACAUUUUUAUUUUCUUUUAAAAUUUAUGAAGUUACAUUGGCGCCUACAAUUCAAAAGAUUUAGUUUGACUGGUUUACACCAUGUGAAUCCCAUAGGAUAAAUUAUAAAUAAUUCAUAUGGUUUCUGACGUAUGCGUUAUACAUACCUAUAUUGCAUGUUAAAUAAUGCCCUUUUCUGAGAUGGUGAAUAGAUAGAUAUGUCGAAUUUUUAGUAUAUGAAGUUGAAAUUAUAAGAAAUAUCCUAAAAGUAUUUGCAUCGACAUUCAUUUGCUAAGGAAAAAGGUUAAAAAUGUCUUCAAAAAAGGGUAAUGGACGUUUAAUAUAGGAUUAAGUAGCAAAGGAGCAAACAUGGAACAUGUUCAUCUCCUAUGAAUGAGGUGAAUAAGUCAAAAAAAGAAGAAGAAUAAGUCAAAGUAGGUCUAGUUGCUGGACCGGUUCUAAGGACAACCGGAUAAAAAUCCAUCUUAAUCCCAAUUUUUUUUAAAACUAAGAACUAUUAUACGUAGACCACAUGGUCCAUAUACUAUCCAUAACUUUUUAGUAAGAUAAACCUGAUAAUGUUUGCCAAAGCUCCUUUAGAUUAAUGUUUGACAAAGUGGUCACUAAUGGUUAUACAUCAUGAAGUCUAAGUUCUGAAUCUUAUAGAAGGCAAAAUUGUGCUGGAGAUUUUUUUUAUAAAAGAUGGAGCAAAAAAUACCAUAAAACGUAGAUCUUAUAAGUCGGUUCAAAGUGAUGCAGUAAAAUGUAAAUUCUUAUAAAAAAUAGAAUCAUCAAUUAUAUAAUCGUUAUAAUAUUUUCAUGGUUUGCAAUAGCAUAGCUAUUCAACGUUAAGAAAAACCAAAUAAUGUUUUUUGGCCAUAAAUUUUCGAUCCGGCUUUGUUGCGCUGUCCACGUACAAAACUAUGGCAUAUAUAAUUCACGAGGUUUGAAAUAGUGUUCCUUUUAUUUGUUUAGUUAGUUCUCAAUAUUUUUCUUUCAAAUGAAUGACAAGAGAAAUCGUAUGAGACGAAUAUGAGAGAUAGGUUAAGAAUCAGGAUGUUUUCGUUCACAGUAUAUAUAAGAAAUUAUUAUAAGAGAUUGUAGCUUAUGGAACAACAUUAAGGGUAUGACUGGUUUCCUCGCUGCCACACGCAUGCGGUUGGUAGCGGUUAUUGGCGUUUUGCAACAAUCACUCAAACCGCUCUAAAUCGUUUCAAACCUCAUAAACUCAAAACUGGCUUCAGCUAGCGUUUGCGGUUACGGGAGGAUAAUUUUUUUCAAAACAAUAUAAACAUAAAAAUAAAAAAUUCAAUAAAAAUUUUAAAUUGGAAUUAUAAAAAUACUAAAAUAUAUCUAUUUUAUAUUUUAAUUAAUAUUAUAAAAUUUAACUUUUAAAAUAUAAUUUUUAUAUUUAUUAUAAUAUUAUAAUUUUUUAUAUUUUUAUAAUUAUAUAAAAUAUAAAUAUUGUUAAUUUAUUAUUUAACUGUUGUUGCAUCUGAUAGUUAAUCAGUCAUAAGUAUCCUGCAAAUGCACCAAUUUCUAACUAUAGAACCAGUCGUACAAAUCUCUUAAAACCGCUAGAACUGUAACCAUCCGCAUCAGCAAACUCCUGCGACCGCAACCGCAACCGAUACAUUUAAACAAGUCAGGCCCUAAGACGAUAACGUUUGUGGGCAGCAUCAUUAGCAAAGAGAACUACGUCUAUUAGCAUUAGAAACAAGUGAUGCUCUUCAUCAUCAUCAUCAUCAUAAACUACUUCCAAAGUGUUAUUACACGUAUGUGGUAUGCCGUAUAUAUAUGCAUAUACAGUUCUUUAUAGUAACCUACAUAUAUAUGUAGGUGUAGCCAUCGCAAUAUCUAGGUGUAUUGUAUAUUAGGGUAUAACAACGAACUUAGUAGAGUAGUAUGAAAUUACCUUAAACUUGGUUUAGUUUGGUUGAAACGCGUAAUUAAUAUCUUAGUAUGAAACUAAGAGUAUACACUUUAAGCAAAUAACUAGAUUUUGAUCCGCGCUUUUAAAGCGCGGAUUUAUUUUUUUAUUUUUUAAUUGACAAAUAUUUAGUAAAUGUCGUAUUUUUAUAUAUUUGUCUUUUAUUUUUAUGAAUGCUUAAAUUAUAUUAAGAAAAUAAAAAAAUAAUAAUUAAGAAUAGUUGAAAAAAAAUUAUUUUAACUUGGACUCAAUGGUCCAAAUGAAAAAAAAAAAGUGAGAAUUGAAUCUGAUUUUUUAAUAGGUCCAAAUGGCCCAAGAGAGAUUUGAUUUGGGCUGGAUCCAAAAAUAAUGAUCCAAUAUAGAUUUGUUAUUAAUAUUACUUAAUUGCCCUUAAUGAAACAUGCAAUGUUAGUGAAGAAAACAUACCCCUAAGGUAAUUAUGACAAUAGGAUCCUGCUUUAAUAAUAUAGAUUGAUUUCUCUUGAACCAACUUGCACUCAAUUUGCUCAUUCAACUGCGUAUUGUAUUUGAUUCAAAUAGAUUGCUGUGAUUUUGGUGUUUUACGUGGUUAUCAAAUGUGUUCAUACUCAUAAGCGCAGAAGAUCAGAAAGCAAUAAACAAGACAGAGAAGAUUGAAUCAAAAUAAAGCGAAGCAGUUAAUGACAGCAUUCAGACAGACAAGAACAUGGUCUUCCUUACAAAUCUUAACUCUAUAUGUUUUUCAAACAAAAGACCAUCCGUGCAUCCAAGGCACAACAACACAUAGCUUAGUACGGUCCACCGAAACUGCCAUCCUCUCACAAAAACUGCUUCAAAGCGCCUGUUACAAUUUCCUUUACUCAGAUAAAUCAGUCUAUGAAGUGGUUAAUGCCCAAAAGACCCAUCUAUAAGAACAAUAGUAUAAGUCAUACCUCUCCAGAGAAUAGGAAGCCAUAGAUUGGUGCUCAAAACUGGCGCCUUGGAGGCCUAGCCUCAGCUUCAGACACUCUAAUCUGCCUCCCGUCCAAAUCCUACAACAGGGUACAAAGUAUAAGCACAUCAAGAAUAGUUUCAUUGAUCAAACUGUCGGAAUAAAAAAGAUACUUACAGCACCAUCCAAUGUUCUGAUGGCAUUCUGAACCUCUUGAGCAGAGUUGUAAGUCACAAACCCAAAACCUUUCGACCUACCACUGUCCCUGUCGUAGAUGACUCUAGCCUCAACAACCUUCCCUUGCUCCCCGAACAAACUCUCGAGCGCCAUGUCGUCAACACCCCACGAGAGGUUACCAACAUAAACACGGUUCCCUGAACCAGCACCACCACCACCACCUCCACCAUAUCCUCCACCAGAGCUUCCAAAGCUGCUUCUAGGUCCUCUUGAGAAGGAGUCUUCCCUCUUCGGUGGAGGAGGACCCGCGUUAACUCUCAACGGUCUACCAUCCAACUCCUGCAAACAAAACCCAAUAAGAACAACAAAACAACACAAAGGUUCCAACUUUUUGUCUUUAGCAACCACAAGUUUUUGUCUUUAGCAACACAAAGGUUCCGACAUAAGGUAGAGAAGUAAGUAUGUUCUUACAUAGCCAUUGAACAACACAAAGGUUCCAACUUUUUGUCUUUAAACGCAUACUUACAUAGCCAUUGAACUGCUGUUCAGCUGUCUCAACUUCAGAAGCUGAAGACAUAGUCACAAACCCAAAACCUCUGCUUCUCCCUGUCACCUUGUCAUAGAUAACCUAAACAAAGACAACAAAACGAACAAUCACUAAAACCAAUCUCAAACAACAACAACAACAACAACAAAAAAGAUUCAAUCUUUAUCUCAUUUCUCGAAAACCCAUAACUCAAUUUUGAGUUUUUGACUCGUUACCUCAACCAUCUCGACGUUUCCGGCGCUCUCGAAGAGCUGAGCGAGCUGAGCGCUGUCGACGUUAAAGGGGAGGUUACCGACGAAGAGCUUGAGGUCAGAAGAGAAGGAUUGCUCCCGCCGCGGGGGAGGAGGAGCGUCGUCGUCAGCGAAGAUGCCGUCUUCUUCGACUGAGAAGUCGUCAGUAACCGCGACGUUACGGACGAAGCGAGAGGAAGCGGCGGAGAUGGAGAGGGAGAGGGAGGCGGAGAGGGAGUGGAGAUUGAAGGAGAGGGAAGGAGGUAGGAGGGAAACGGAGGCGGGUCUGGAGAUGGAGAAAGGAAGGGACUUGGGGGUGAAAGUGGAGAGAGCGAGAGAGGAAGCUGAAGCAGCCAUGGUGAAGAGAUGAGAAGAGAUAAGGUUUGUUUUUAGCUUUAGGGGUUUUUGAGAGUGGAGAUAAGAUGGUGUGUUUCUGAUAUUUAUGGGCCAAAUGGGAAUAAAUAUCUUUGCACAAAAUAUCUCAUUCUGAUUUUUAUUUACAAAUUUUGCCUCAAAACUUUAUUUGAUUGCUAAAUAUUCUGCUGCUAAUAAAAUUUGUCAAAUUUCAAUGAAUUUAUCUUAACGUCAUCUCUGAAAAAAAGUAUGUAUUUAAAAAAAAUAUAGGUUUUCAUAAAUUUGUAGACAAUUUCUUUAGAAAAUCUUAAUUUUCAAAAUAUUUUGUAUUUUUCUCACUUUAGUGGUGUUAGUUAUCUUUUUAUUGGAAGUCUCUACUUACUACUUGUCAUACGCUGAAGUGAGAUGACAGAUGAGAUGAGAUCUAAGCCGUAGAGUUUUGGAUGGACAGUGGAGAUGGCACGUCUCAUGCCAAAACCAAAAGAAAAAAUCUAUAAGAUAGGAUUUUUUAACUAAAAGCCAAUGGAAGUAGCAACUCUCGUUCCAGCACAGAUCUUUAACUCCAAUAAAUUCAGAAAACAAUACAGUUCCUCUAAAGAAAACCAUUGAAUCAUACAAAGGUUGCUCCCUUCAAAACAAGUUAAUAAGAAAUGAUGUAUUUGGAUAACAACAGAAGACUGAAGUUCUUGAACUGCAACACGCUUUUAGGAUCUCUUCAAUUGGAGGGUCAUCUCGAGCUUCUUUGUCCUGAAAUGUUCCAACAAACAAGUUGUUGAGUACGAGAUUGUGAUUAAUUUAUCUCUUUGAUUACAUUGACAUGGUGUAAACACAAGUAUUUGAUCAAAACGUGUUACCUGGUCCAUACUCCCCGGUCCGAUCAAAACAAGAGAAACACCAGAUGCAUCCAUCACAUGCUAAGAAAACCUCAAAUGUAUCACUUAAUGAAAUGACCAAACCAUCAUCAAGAUUUUGACAGUGGGGUGAAUCAUUUUACCUUCUUUUACGACAAGCAAGCUUUAAUACCCAACAUAGUAGUAGUAACCAAACACAUUCACCAAAUCUAAUAAGAAACUUCUCCAAAAAGAUUUAACCACCCAAAAUGACGAGCAAAUGCAACAACAGCCUUCCUAUCCUUCCACAAAAUCAGAAAUCAACAGUCUCUCUCCCUGUUCCAGUUCCUGUGAAGAAGAACCGAUUCAAUCUAGUUUAUAAUCUUUUCAGCUUCUCCAAAACAGAACAGAUUCUAAAACUUACCUGAAGCGCCGGUAAUGGCCGACACUGCCACCACGUUACGCCGGAGAGAAAAAUCUACUGGAGAUGAGAACUGGCCAAAGAACCAAACUUUACUGUCCCGUAAACCCAUGAAUCGUUUUUCAUCUUCUGAUUCAGCGUAACGGGAGUGAUCGUCGACGAAGACGGCGAUGAGAGAGAAACCGCCAUUGUUGUUUUUACUCCGGGAAAGCCGAAAGAAAUAAGAAAAAUCCUAACUUUAACGUUUUAGUUAGAAAAAAAAAAUCAAAUUAAAAAAAAUCAAACUUUAAGUUAUUACACGUUGUAUAGAUGACGUAAGCAUUGUCCGAAACAGAAAAAAGUCAAACGCCACGUAAGCUCAGUAAGAGUAAAAUUUUUUGGAAAAGGUAGAUCUUUUUUAAAAGCGAACUAGAUUUUGAUCCGCACAUCCGUGCGGGUAUUCGUUUAAACUUUUAAAAACAUACAAUAGAUAUUUACAUAAAAUUGUUAUAUUAGCGUUUUAUACCAGCUCAAAUAAGAUAAGCUUUUAGCACAUAUAUAAUUAUUAGUAAUACUAUAAGUAAGUAAUUAUUUGAGGUUUAUUUAUUUUAUGUUAUUCAUGUACAUUAAUAUUUAAAAUUUUAAAAAUAGUUAUUAUAUAUAAUAUAAAUGGACUACUUAGUUUUGGAAAGGAAAAAAAUUGAUAUUUUUUAAUAUUUAUGGAAUGGUAAAAACUAUUUUAUAUUGAUUUUAUAUCAUAUCAUUCGUAUUAAUAUAUAUAUGUACAGUUCACAACAGGUAAAAUUAAUUAAUUUUUAACUUUAAGAAAGAUUUUGUUAAGAUAUAUUAUCAUUUGAAACAAUAAUUAAUAUUUCCAUAUAUAAAAGUAAUUGAUGGUAUAUUUUUAAGGAAGAUUUUGUUAAGUUUAACUAAUAUAGUGCUCUUUUGCGAAAUAGACACUUUUUAUUAAUAAUAUUUUAUACGUACAAUCAUAUAAAUAAUCACAUAUAUUAUAUUUUAAAAUUUAAUGUGAAAUAUAAAAGCUAUAAUUUAAGUUGGUGUUUGAAAUUGGGCUUUGUAUUGCAUUUUUUUUGUAGAGUUUUGGAUGGACAGUGGAGAUGGCACGUCUCAUGCCAAAACCAAAAGAAAAAAUCUAUAAGAUAGGAUUUUUUAACUAAAAGCCAAUGGAAGUAGCAACUCUCGUUCCAGCACAGAUCUUUAACUCCAAUAAAUUCAGAAAACAAUACAGUUCCUCUAAAGAAAACCAUUGAAUCAUACAAAGGUUGCUCCCUUCAAAACAAGUUAAUAAGAAAUGAUGUAUUUGGAUAACAACAGAAGACUGAAGUUCUUGAACUGCAACACGCUUUUAGGAUCUCUUCAAUUGGAGGGUCAUCUCGAGCUUCUUUGUCCUGAAAUGUUCCAACAAACAAGUUGUUGAGUACGAGAUUGUGAUUAAUUUAUCUCUUUGAUUACAUUGACAUGGUGUAAACACAAGUAUUUGAUCAAAACGUGUUACCUGGUCCAUACUCCCCGGUCCGAUCAAAACAAGAGAAACACCAGAUGCAUCCAUCACAUGCUAAGAAAACCUCAAAUGUAUCACUUAAUGAAAUGACCAAACCAUCAUCAAGAUUUUGACAGUGGGGUGAAUCAUUUUACCUUCUUUUACGACAAGCAAGCUUUAAUACCCAACAUAGUAGUAGUAACCAAACACAUUCACCAAAUCUAAUAAGAAACUUCUCCAAAAAGAUUUAACCACCCAAAAUGACGAGCAAAUGCAACAACAGCCUUCCUAUCCUUCCACAAAAUCAGAAAUCAACAGUCUCUCUCCCUGUUCCAGUUCCUGUGAAGAAGAACCGAUUCAAUCUAGUUUAUAAUCUUUUCAGCUUCUCCAAAACAGAACAGAUUCUAAAACUUACCUGAAGCGCCGGUAAUGGCCGACACUGCCACCACGUUACGCCGGAGAGAAAAAUCUACUGGAGAUGAGAACUGGCCAAAGAACCAAACUUUACUGUCCCGUAAACCCAUGAAUCGUUUUUCAUCUUCUGAUUCAGCGUAACGGGAGUGAUCGUCGACGAAGACGGCGAUGAGAGAGAAACCGCCAUUGUUGUUUUUACUCCGGGAAAGCCGAAAGAAAUAAGAAAAAUCCUAACUUUAACGUUUUAGUUAGAAAAAAAAAAUCAAAUUAAAAAAAAUCAAACUUUAAGUUAUUACACGUUGUAUAGAUGACGUAAGCAUUGUCCGAAACAGAAAAAAGUCAAACGCCACGUAAGCUCAGUAAGAGUAAAAUUUUUUGGAAAAGGUAGAUCUUUUUUAAAAGCGAACUAGAUUUUGAUCCGCACAUCCGUGCGGGUAUUCGUUUAAACUUUUAAAAACAUACAAUAGAUAUUUACAUAAAAUUGUUAUAUUAGCGUUUUAUACCAGCUCAAAUAAGAUAAGCUUUUAGCACAUAUAUAAUUAUUAGUAAUACUAUAAGUAAGUAAUUAUUUGAGGUUUAUUUAUUUUAUGUUAUUCAUGUACAUUAAUAUUUAAAAUUUUAAAAAUAGUUAUUAUAUAUAAUAUAAAUGGACUACUUAGUUUUGGAAAGGAAAAAAAUUGAUAUUUUUUAAUAUUUAUGGAAUGGUAAAAACUAUUUUAUAUUGAUUUUAUAUCAUAUCAUUCGUAUUAAUAUAUAUAUGUACAGUUCACAACAGGUAAAAUUAAUUAAUUUUUAACUUUAAGAAAGAUUUUGUUAAGAUAUAUUAUCAUUUGAAACAAUAAUUAAUAUUUCCAUAUAUAAAAGUAAUUGAUGGUAUAUUUUUAAGGAAGAUUUUGUUAAGUUUAACUAAUAUAGUGCUCUUUUGCGAAAUAGACACUUUUUAUUAAUAAUAUUUUAUACGUACAAUCAUAUAAAUAAUCACAUAUAUUAUAUUUUAAAAUUUAAUGUGAAAUAUAAAAGCUAUAAUUUAAGUUGGUGUUUGAAAUUGGGCUUUGUAUUGCAUUUUUUUUUAUAUAUUGAAAAUAUUUUUAUAAUAGUUAUUGGAAAAUAUGUUAGUAAAAAUUAAAUUUUGAAUAUAUGUAUACUUUUAAAUGAAUUUUUGAUAUAAAUCAAUUUUAAAUUAUUAUUUUGAUUUGAAUAUAUAUAUCAAGUAACAUAGACCCAUUAUUUUUUAAUAUAAUAUAAUAGACUUCCAAUUUUUUAGUAGCAUAAGCCUAAUAUGUUUUUUCCUAACUUACUACUAUCUAUGUUUCCAAACAAUACUAUUUUUUUUAACUACUAUCCAUAUUGCCAAACAAUCUCAGUGUGUACUUCAACUUUAAUAAUAUAUAUAUAUAUAGAUGUUCCUUCUUUGCACGUUUAAGGGAUCUCAAGCCGCUUCUCUCUCUCACACAUCUCUGAAAUGGCGAGAGUAUUGCGUGUGGCGAGAUCCUCCUCCUCCCUCUUCAGCUUCGGAAGCAGAUCUUAUUCAGCCGAAGCUAGCCACGUGUCCUCUCCCCCUCCUCCGUUUCUUGGAGCUCGCAGAGACGUUACCAAGGAGAGAAACGUGCAGUGGGUGUUCCUCGGUUGUCCCGGUGUCGGGAAGGGGACUUACGCCAGCAGACUCUCGAGUCUCCUCGGUGUUCCUCACAUCGCCACCGGAGAUCUCGUCCGUGAUGCGCUAGCUUCUUCCGGACCUCUCUCCCGACAGGUUCUUGUUUCACUUUAUGUCCAAAUGAAUCCCAAAACGACGUCGUUUUCUGUUUAAAUCUGCUAAAAGUUCAUGUGUCUACCAACAGAUCUAAUGAACUAGUGUUUGUUUUGUCCUAACGGAUCUGAUCCUUUUUCUAAUAAUAGUCAACGGCUCUCUCCUCUUGCUUGUAUUGAGAUUCUUAUUACUUGAUUGCAGCUAUCAGAGAUUGUAAACCAGGGGAAGCUUGUUUCUGAUGAGAUCAUAGUGAACUUAUUAUCAAAGAGACUUGAAGCUGGUGAAGCCAAGGGCGAAUCAGGUUUCAUUCUUGAUGGCUUUCCUCGUACCAUGAGACAAGCUGUAAGUUAAUUCAUUGACUUCACAUCAUAUUGAGCAAAGUUUUGAAUGAUUAAUCUUUGUGUUUUCAGGAAAUAUUAGGAGAUGUCACUGACAUCGAUCUAGUGGUGAACUUAAAGCUACCUGAGGAGGUUUUGGUUGACAAAUGCUUAGGGAGGAGAACGUGUAAUCAAUGCGGUAAAGGUUUCAAUAUAGCUCACAUCAACUUAAAGGGUGAGAAUGGGAAACCAGGAAUCAGCAUGGAUCCACUUCUCCCUCCACCUCAGUGUAUGUCAAAGCUCAUCACUCGUGCUGAUGAUACUGAGGAGGUUGUGAAAGCUAGGCUCCGUAUUUACAAUGAAACCGUAAGUCCUCUUUCUCUCUCUCUAUUGUUCUUCCCAUUUUAGCGAUGCUUGAUGCUUUGAAUGAUGUGUGCAGAGCCAGCCUCUUGAAGAGUACUACCGUAUCAAGGGAAAGCUGAUGGAGUUUGACUUACCUGGAGGCAUCCCUGAGUCUUGGCCAAGGCUGUUAGAAGCUUUAAGGCUUGAUGAUUACGAGGAGAAGCAAUCUGCCGCGGCGUAGUUCAACUACAACUCCGGUUUAUAAUUCUUUGCAUGUGGAAGACAUGUGCCUAUAUCAGUUUUGUGUUGGAAAAUAAAGAAAACCUUAGAUUGUUUUUUUUUAUUGCCUCAGAUCAGAAUAAUCAUCAUCAUACACACUUUGCAAACUAUAUGAUGUAUCAUGAUUGUUUAUGAGUUUGCUAGUUACAGGAAUGUAUAAACACUUUGGUACACUUUUGAUUAUUUAUUGUUGAAUGUGAUCAAUGAUUGUUUAUGAGUUUGCUAGUUACAUUACAUGAAUGUAUCAAUACUUACACUGCUUGUUACACAUCAGGUUUGAUGUUUGGGCUCUUGUGAUUAGUUUGUUUAUUGUUGAAUGUGUGUGAUAAUAUUGCGGCUGGCCGAGCUGGCUGGUUAAAGAACACAACCAGACAGUAAAGUAAAACAGUCGCAUACAUUAAAGAUUUUGUGGAACGUAUAACCAGCUCCUGUCUGUCCUAGAAUUGGCGGUUCAGGAUAGAACUGUUCCUUACAUACUGGAACUUCCAGUAGAAUUUGAUGCUAAUUGUUGGUCCUAAACUAGUGUGUAUCAGUUGCUAUGUGAUCUCAUAACUGGACCUUAUCUUAUGGUUUGUGCUUGAGGUUUCUGAGAAAUCGCUGGGUUCAUUUGAUUCUUCUGGUUUGACAAUUAGUUUCUUGUUAUGGACACGGUGAAAUCAGACUCAAAUCGGUGGAAUAAGACAGCCUCAAAGAAGGCAGACAUAAUCAUGUUUGCUCUUGAUUCAUCUUCAAUCUCAACAGGACAUUAAAAUCAAUUUGUAGCUUUAUUUUGUUAGUAUAUAGAUUUGAUGAAAUAAACAACCUUUAAAUUAUAAAUAUAAAGAUGAAAAUAUUCUUAAACAUGAAACCGUUUUGAUCAAGAUUCAAAAAAAACUUCAUUAAAAGAUAGGGACAUCUUCUGAAACAUAUCCAAAAAGCUCUAAUGAAAAACAGCAAGAUAAGGUCUUUGAGAUGUAAUGCAAACUCAAGGCCUAGGAAGAUCCUCCUUAACGGUUGGCCUUCGCAACUCUCUCAAUCUCAUCCUUCUUCUUGAUGGCAUAGCUGCAAAAAAACAAGACAAGAUGCUAUUAGUAUUUAGCAACAAACAAACACAAUUUGUGAACCCGCUUUAAGAGACAAGACAAUGUAAAGAUGUUUACCUGUUGGAAGAUCCCUUGGCAGCAUUGAUGAGCUCAUCAGCAAGGCACUCAGCGAUUGUCUUGAUGUUUCUAAACGCAGCUUCACGUGCACCAGUGGUGAGCAAGAAGAUGGCUUGGUUCACACGUCUUAGAGGAGAGAUAUCAACAGCCUGCCUCCUAACCACACCAGCAGAUCCAAUCCUCGUCGCAUCCUCACGUGGACCACUAGCUCACCAAUAAAACACACACAACAUUAGAAAAAAAGGUUUCUAGUAACACGCAAUAAAGAAUGCAACAUUGUUGUCUUACCUGUUGACAAUGGCAUCAAUGAUAACCUGAAUAGGGUUCAAGUCAGUCAAGAGAUGGAUGAUCUCCAUGGCGUGCUUGAUGAUCCUCACAGCCAUCAGCUUCUUUCCGUUGUUCCUUCCGUGCAUCAUGAGAGAGUUCGUGAGCCUCUCAACAAUGGGACACUGAGCCUUCCUGAACCUCUUGACAGAGUAUCUUCCAGCAGUGUGGGGGACAAAGGUCGCGUGCUUAGGAGGCUGAACCCCAAUGUAGUCAACAAGACUAAUGUCUGUGCCCUACCCAUUCACAAAAAAAAAAAACACAAGAUCAACAAAACAAAUACUAAGAACAUAGCCAUUGUUGCCAAUUUAAAUUUUAGAGAUCUAAUAUUCAAAAACAAACCAAACAACACAGAAAGUGUUGGACUUUAAGACAAAGAAACAUCAGGAUCAACCAAGUGUACUGAGACAAUAAAACAUGAAUUGAAAAUUAACAAAAAUAAAAACAAAAAGAGGACAUUUUUUCCGACAUAACUCCAUGAGUUAUAUCUAAUUCAGACAAUGUAACUAUUUUUUUGUAAUAGACCAAUCAUUUCAUUGUAGAAUUAGAUCCUAUAAAGAUUGCAAAUGAGCUAUCGUAAACUUACCGAAACGUCAUCAAAGCUCCAGCGAUUGAAGAGCUUGACCUCGUUGGUAAGCUGCUGCUGAAUCUCAGCGUCAAUCUCAACGGCGGCGGCCAUGGCUGGAAACACCAAACAUACUUACACUGCUUGUUACACAUCAGGUUUGAUGUUUGGGCUCUUGUGAUUAGUUUGUUUAUUGUUGAAUGUGUGUGAUAAUAUUGCGGCUGGCCGAGCUGGCUGGUUAAAGAACACAACCAGACAGUAAAGUAAAACAGUCGCAUACAUUAAAGAUUUUGUGGAACGUAUAACCAGCUCCUGUCUGUCCUAGAAUUGGCGGUUCAGGAUAGAACUGUUCCUUACAUACUGGAACUUCCAGUAGAAUUUGAUGCUAAUUGUUGGUCCUAAACUAGUGUGUAUCAGUUGCUAUGUGAUCUCAUAACUGGACCUUAUCUUAUGGUUUGUGCUUGAGGUUUCUGAGAAAUCGCUGGGUUCAUUUGAUUCUUCUGGUUUGACAAUUAGUUUCUUGUUAUGGACACGGUGAAAUCAGACUCAAAUCGGUGGAAUAAGACAGCCUCAAAGAAGGCAGACAUAAUCAUGUUUGCUCUUGAUUCAUCUUCAAUCUCAACAGGACAUUAAAAUCAAUUUGUAGCUUUAUUUUGUUAGUAUAUAGAUUUGAUGAAAUAAACAACCUUUAAAUUAUAAAUAUAAAGAUGAAAAUAUUCUUAAACAUGAAACCGUUUUGAUCAAGAUUCAAAAAAAACUUCAUUAAAAGAUAGGGACAUCUUCUGAAACAUAUCCAAAAAGCUCUAAUGAAAAACAGCAAGAUAAGGUCUUUGAGAUGUAAUGCAAACUCCUUACAUAGCCAUUGAACUGCUGUUCAGCUGUCUGAACCUCAGAGGCUGAAGACAUAGUCACAAACCCAAAACCUCUGCUUCUCCCUGUCACCUUGUCAUAGAUAACCUAAACAAAGACAACAAAACGAACAAUCACUAAAACCAAUCUCAAACAACAACAACAACAACAACAAAAAAGAUUCAAUCUUUAUCUCAUUUCUCGAAAACCCAUAACUCAAUUUUGAGUUUUUGACUCGUUACCUCAACCAUCUCGACGUUUCCGGCGCUCUCGAAGAGCUGAGCGAGCUGAGCGCUGUCGACGUUAAAGGGGAGGUUACCGACGAAGAGCUUGAGGUCAGAAGAGAAGGAUUGCUCCCGCCGCGGGGGAGGAGGAGCGUCGUCGUCAGCGAAGAUGCCGUCUUCUUCGACUGAGAAGUCGUCAGUAACCGCGACGUUACGGACGAAGCGAGAGGAAGCGGCGGAGAUGGAGAGGGAGAGGGAGGCGGAGAGGGAGUGGAGAUUGAAGGAGAGGGAAGGAGGUAGGAGGGAAACGGAGGCGGGUCUGGAGAUGGAGAAAGGAAGGGACUUGGGGGUGAAAGUGGAGAGAGCGAGAGAGGAAGCUGAAGCAGCCAUGGUGAAGAGAUGAGAAGAGAUAAGGUUUGUUUUUAGCUUUAGGGGUUUUUGAGAGUGGAGAUAAGAUGGUGUGUUUCUGAUAUUUAUGGGCCAAAUGGGAAUAAAUAUCUUUGCACAAAAUAUCUCAUUCUGAUUUUUAUUUACAAAUUUUGCCUCAAAACUUUAUUUGAUUGCUAAAUAUUCUGCUGCUAAUAAAAUUUGUCAAAUUUCAAUGAAUUUAUCUUAACGUCAUCUCUGAAAAAAAGUAUGUAUUUAAAAAAAAUAUAGGUUUUCAUAAAUUUGUAGACAAUUUCUUUAGAAAAUCUUAAUUUUCAAAAUAUUUUGUAUUUUUCUCACUUUAGUGGUGUUAGUUAUCUUUUUAUUGGAAGUCUCUACUUACUACUUGUCAUACGCUGAAGUGAGAUGACAGAUGAGAUGAGAUCUAAGCCGUAGAGUUUUGGAUGGACAGUGGAGAUGGCACGUCUCAUGCCAAAACCAAAAGAAAAAAUCUAUAAGAUAGGAUUUUUUAACUAAAAGCCAAUGGAAGUAGCAACUCUCGUUCCAGCACAGAUCUUUAACUCCAAUAAAUUCAGAAAACAAUACAGUUCCUCUAAAGAAAACCAUUGAAUCAUACAAAGGUUGCUCCCUUCAAAACAAGUUAAUAAGAAAUGAUGUAUUUGGAUAACAACAGAAGACUGAAGUUCUUGAACUGCAACACGCUUUUAGGAUCUCUUCAAUUGGAGGGUCAUCUCGAGCUUCUUUGUCCUGAAAUGUUCCAACAAACAAGUUGUUGAGUACGAGAUUGUGAUUAAUUUAUCUCUUUGAUUACAUUGACAUGGUGUAAACACAAGUAUUUGAUCAAAACGUGUUACCUGGUCCAUACUCCCCGGUCCGAUCAAAACAAGAGAAACACCAGAUGCAUCCAUCACAUGCUAAGAAAACCUCAAAUGUAUCACUUAAUGAAAUGACCAAACCAUCAUCAAGAUUUUGACAGUGGGGUGAAUCAUUUUACCUUCUUUUACGACAAGCAAGCUUUAAUACCCAACAUAGUAGUAGUAACCAAACACAUUCACCAAAUCUAAUAAGAAACUUCUCCAAAAAGAUUUAACCACCCAAAAUGACGAGCAAAUGCAACAACAGCCUUCCUAUCCUUCCACAAAAUCAGAAAUCAACAGUCUCUCUCCCUGUUCCAGUUCCUGUGAAGAAGAACCGAUUCAAUCUAGUUUAUAAUCUUUUCAGCUUCUCCAAAACAGAACAGAUUCUAAAACUUACCUGAAGCGCCGGUAAUGGCCGACACUGCCACCACGUUACGCCGGAGAGAAAAAUCUACUGGAGAUGAGAACUGGCCAAAGAACCAAACUUUACUGUCCCGUAAACCCAUGAAUCGUUUUUCAUCUUCUGAUUCAGCGUAACGGGAGUGAUCGUCGACGAAGACGGCGAUGAGAGAGAAACCGCCAUUGUUGUUUUUACUCCGGGAAAGCCGAAAGAAAUAAGAAAAAUCCUAACUUUAACGUUUUAGUUAGAAAAAAAAAAUCAAAUUAAAAAAAAUCAAACUUUAAGUUAUUACACGUUGUAUAGAUGACGUAAGCAUUGUCCGAAACAGAAAAAAGUCAAACGCCACGUAAGCUCAGUAAGAGUAAAAUUUUUUGGAAAAGGUAGAUCUUUUUUAAAAGCGAACUAGAUUUUGAUCCGCACAUCCGUGCGGGUAUUCGUUUAAACUUUUAAAAACAUACAAUAGAUAUUUACAUAAAAUUGUUAUAUUAGCGUUUUAUACCAGCUCAAAUAAGAUAAGCUUUUAGCACAUAUAUAAUUAUUAGUAAUACUAUAAGUAAGUAAUUAUUUGAGGUUUAUUUAUUUUAUGUUAUUCAUGUACAUUAAUAUUUAAAAUUUUAAAAAUAGUUAUUAUAUAUAAUAUAAAUGGACUACUUAGUUUUGGAAAGGAAAAAAAUUGAUAUUUUUUAAUAUUUAUGGAAUGGUAAAAACUAUUUUAUAUUGAUUUUAUAUCAUAUCAUUCGUAUUAAUAUAUAUAUGUACAGUUCACAACAGGUAAAAUUAAUUAAUUUUUAACUUUAAGAAAGAUUUUGUUAAGAUAUAUUAUCAUUUGAAACAAUAAUUAAUAUUUCCAUAUAUAAAAGUAAUUGAUGGUAUAUUUUUAAGGAAGAUUUUGUUAAGUUUAACUAAUAUAGUGCUCUUUUGCGAAAUAGACACUUUUUAUUAAUAAUAUUUUAUACGUACAAUCAUAUAAAUAAUCACAUAUAUUAUAUUUUAAAAUUUAAUGUGAAAUAUAAAAGCUAUAAUUUAAGUUGGUGUUUGAAAUUGGGCUUUGUAUUGCAUUUUUUUUUAUAUAUUGAAAAUAUUUUUAUAAUAGUUAUUGGAAAAUAUGUUAGUAAAAAUUAAAUUUUGAAUAUAUGUAUACUUUUAAAUGAAUUUUUGAUAUAAAUCAAUUUUAAAUUAUUAUUUUGAUUUGAAUAUAUAUAUCAAGUAACAUAGACCCAUUAUUUUUUAAUAUAAUAUAAUAGACUUCCAAUUUUUUAGUAGCAUAAGCCUAAUAUGUUUUUUCCUAACUUACUACUAUCUAUGUUUCCAAACAAUACUAUUUUUUUUAACUACUAUCCAUAUUGCCAAACAAUCUCAGUGUGUACUUCAACUUUAAUAAUAUAUAUAUAUAUAGAUGUUCCUUCUUUGCACGUUUAAGGGAUCUCAAGCCGCUUCUCUCUCUCACACAUCUCUGAAAUGGCGAGAGUAUUGCGUGUGGCGAGAUCCUCCUCCUCCCUCUUCAGCUUCGGAAGCAGAUCUUAUUCAGCCGAAGCUAGCCACGUGUCCUCUCCCCCUCCUCCGUUUCUUGGAGCUCGCAGGGGCUUUACCAAGGAGAGAAACGUGCAGUGGGUGUUCCUCGGUUGUCCCGGUGUCGGAAAGGGGACUUACGCUAGCAGACUCUCGAGUCUCCUCGGUGUUCCUCACAUCGCCACCGGAGAUCUCGUCCGUGAUGCGCUAGCUUCUUCCGGACCUCUCUCCCAACAGGUUCUUGUUUCACUUUUAUGUCCAAAUGAAUCCCAAAACGACGUCGUUUUCCGUUAGAUCUGUUAAAAGUUCAUGUGUCUACCAACAGAUCUAAUGAACUAGUGUUUGUGUCCUAACGGAUCUGAUCCUUUUUUUAAUAAUAGUCAACGGCUCUCUCUCUCUCCUCUUGCUUGUAUUGAGAUUCUUAUUACUUGAUUGCAGCUAUCAGAGAUUGUAAACCAGGGGAAGCUUGUUUCAGAUGAGAUCAUAGUGAACCUAUUAUCAAAGAGACUUGAAGCUGGUGAAGCCAAAGGUGAAUCAGGUUUCAUUCUUGACGGCUUUCCUCGCACCAUGAGACAAGCUGUAAGUUAGUAAACUUAUUAUUAUAUUUAACCCAUUUUUUAGAAAGUUUUAAUCUUUUUAUAUUUCAGGAAAUACUAGGAGAUGUCACUGACAUCGAUCUAGUGGUGAACUUAAAGCUACCUGAGGAGGUUUUGGUUGACAAAUGCCUUGGCAGGAGGACGUGUAAUCAGUGCGGUAAAGGUUUCAAUAUAGCUCACAUCAACUUAAAGGGUGAGAACGGGAAACCAGGAAUCAGCAUGGAUCCGCUUCUCCCUCCACCUCAGUGUAUGUCAAAGCUCAUCACUCGUGCUGAUGAUACUGAGGAGGUUGUGAAAGCUAGGCUUCGUAUUUACAAUGAAACCGUAGGUCCUCUUUCUCUAUUGUCCUUACCUUUUAGCUGUGAAGCGAUGCUUGAUGCUUUGAAUGAUUGUGUGCAGAGCCAGCCUCUUGAAGAGUACUACCGUAGCAAGGGAAAGCUUAUGGAGUUUGACUUACCUGGAGGCAUCCCUGAGUCUUGGCCAAGGCUGUUAGAAGCUUUAAGGCUUGAUGAUUACGAGGAGAAGCAAUCUGCCGCGGCGUAGUUCAACUACAACUCCGGUAUUUAUAAUUCUUUGCAUGUGGAAGACAUGUGCCUAUAUCAGUUUUGUGUUGGAAAAUAAAGAAAACCUUAGGUUGUUUUUUUUAUUGCCUCAGAUCAGAAUAAUCAUUCAUCAUAUACACUUUGCAAACUAUAUGAUGUAUCAUGAUUGUUUAUGAGUUUGCUAGUUACAGGAAUGUAUAAACACUUUGGUACACUUUUGAUUAUUUAUUGUUGAAUGUGAUCAAUGAUUGUUUAUGAGUUUGCUAGUUACAUUACAUGAAUGUAUCAAUACUUACACUGCUUGUUACACAUCAGGUUUGAUGUUUGGGCUCUUGUGAUUAGUUUGUUUAUUGUUGAAUGUGUGUGAUAAUAUUGCGGCUGGCCGAGCUGGCUGGUUAAAGAACACAACCAGACAGUAAAGUAAAACAGUCGCAUACAUUAAAGAUUUUGUGGAACGUAUAACCAGCUCCUGUCUGUCCUAGAAUUGGCGGUUCAGGAUAGAACUGUUCCUUACAUACUGGAACUUCCAGUAGAAUUUGAUGCUAAUUGUUGGUCCUAAACUCCCUAGUGUGUAUCAGUUGCUAUGUGAUCUCAUAACAGGACCUUAGCUUAUGGUUUGUGCUUGAGGUUUCUGAGAAAUCGCUGGGUUACUUCAUUUGAUUCUUCUGGUUUGACAAUUAGUUUCUUGUUAUGGACACGGUGAAAUCAGACUCAAGUGAAAGGCUAAACCACAUCGUAUAGCUAUUUAAAUCACAAUAGUGAACAUGUACUUUAGAGAUGUCUCACUUACUGUACCUCAGUCACUAGUAUCUCUUGGUAGUGACUUAUAGUGUUGUCUUGGCACGUGUGAAUCAUUUCAAAAGGAGUAAAAUGUUUUCUUCUUCUAUAUGUACAUUCGGAGUUAAGAAAAUGUGUAUAAGACCCUAACAAUGUAUAUAUUACCAUCCUCUUUGGAGCAGUCAAAGCAAUGCAUCUAAAAACAAAACAUAUAGGAUGAAUGAGGGUUAACAACUGUUCCAUGGUCGACAAACUAAACUGGUGGAGCUUUGGAUUCUGGUUGCAGAAGCAGUCAGUGUGAUGAAGAAGAGCUUGAUGGUCCAACCAGAUGCAAAAGAAGGUGAGACCAGUAGGCUUUAGCUUGUUUUAAACACUUUCUGCAAUCUACAGUUACAAGUAAGUUUGCUGAUAAUAGGCUAUCGGUGGAAUAAGACAUUUGAUGAUUCAUCUUCAAUCUCAACAGGACAUUAAAAUCAAUUUGUAGUUUUAUUUUGUUAGUAUAUAGAUUUGUUGCAAUAAACAACCUUUAAAUUAUAAAUAUAAAGAUGAAAAUAUUCUUAAACAUGAAACCGUUUUGAUCAAGAUUCAAAAAAACUUCAUUAAAAGAUAGGGACAUCUUCUGAAACAUAUCCAAAAAGCUCUAAUGAAAAACAGCAAGAUAAGGUCUUUGAGAUGUAAUGCAAACUCAAGGCCUAGGAAGAUCCUCCUUAACGGUUGGCCUUCGCAACUCUCUCAAUCUCAUCCUUCUUCUUGAUGGCAUAGCUGCAAAAAAACAAGACAAGAUGCUAUUAGUAUUUAGCAACAAACAAACACAAUUUGUGAACCCGCUUUAAGAGACAAGACAAUGUAAAGAUGUUUACCUGUUGGAAGAUCCCUUGGCAGCAUUGAUGAGCUCAUCAGCAAGGCACUCAGCGAUUGUCUUGAUGUUUCUAAACGCAGCUUCACGUGCACCAGUGGUGAGCAAGAAGAUGGCUUGGUUCACACGUCUUAGAGGAGAGAUAUCAACAGCCUGCCUCCUAACCACACCAGCAGAUCCAAUCCUGGUAGCAUCCUCACGUGGACCACUGCCUCACCAAUAAAACACACAUGAUAAGAAAAAAUAUUUCUACAAGAAAGAAUGUGUAUAAGUACCACAUGUUGUCUUACCUGUUGACAAUGGCAUCAAUGAUAACCUGAAUAGGGUUCAAGUCAGUCAAGAGAUGGAUGAUCUCCAUGGCGUGCUUGAUGAUCCUCACAGCCAUCAGCUUCUUUCCGUUGUUCCUUCCGUGCAUCAUGAGAGAGUUCGUGAGCCUCUCAACAAUGGGACACUGAGCCUUCCUGAACCUCUUGACAGAGUAUCUUCCAGCAGUGUGGGGGACAAAGGUCGCGUGCUUAGGAGGCUGAACCCCAAUGUAGUCAACAAGACUAAUGUCUGUGCCCUACCCAUUCACAAAAAAAAAAAACACAAGAUCAACAAAACAAAUACUAAGAACAUAGCCAUUGUUGCCAAUUUAAGUCGUGUGGAGAUGAGACGGGACUAGGUUUAGCUGCAGCUACUGCUUGAAGAAGGUGGUGAGAAGAAACAAAAACCCUAAUUUUACUAGAGUAUAGGGUUUUUAAAAUGGAUUUUAUUGGGCCCAAUGGGCUUUUCGUAAGGCCCAGUCCAAGUCGUUAUACCAUAAGUCUUUAGAGCAUGCUAGAAAGAGAGCAUUCAAUGCGGGAUGUCGACUUGCUAGCUCUCGUCCAUGCACCGUCCGUCGCAUCAACCCGUGAGUUUUGUCGGUUUUUGUUCAAUGACUCCAACAAACUUUGAAAGAUUUUGCCCACUCUUCUUUGCAAAUUAAUCACGAGAUCAUUGCUUGUACUUGUUAGGUUGUUGAAGGGUGGGGCAUGUGCCACACACUGAUUAUAAGAAACCUUUAAGUAAUUAGUCUAACUAUGGUCCUUAGGUUAAUUGCUUACUAGUUGAAUCGAUAGUCCCAUAAGAUAUGUGUUCGACUCUCCCACUCACCGUCUUGUUUCCAUGUUCUUUUCUACUAUCAUUUUUCCAUGUAGCCAUCUCACAUAUAUAUAUUGUUUUGUCAAUUUCUUUCAUGACUUAUUAGUUAAUUUAUCAAAACAUUUUAGAAUCUGAUUUAUACAAAAUAAAAAAAAUCCAAAUUGUUUUUCUUAUUAGUUUGAGUUCUCUUUUAAAAACUCAGAAUUCAAAAAAAUUACAAGUUUGAUUUUUUUUUAAAUAAAAAUUGCAUAGCUAUAACUUUUGUUUAUAUUUUAUUUUUGCUAUACAAUUUAUUUGUGCCCCAUAUAAAUAUUUUGUCUAGAUCCGCCCCUGCUUGUUAUUCCAUUUUGUCGUAUUAUCAUAUUUACUUGUUACUCCAUAUUGUCGUAUUAUCAUAUUUUUAUAAGAUAUUCACUAACAGAUAAGCCAUUCUUAUCCCAAAAUCAUUUAAAUUCAGAGACGACAAAAUUUAGGGAAACAAAUAAUUCUUGAUGAUUUAUCGAAAAAUAUUUGUGUGUUUAAUGUUAAUUAUAGUCAGUUAAAUUAAUUCGUUAUUGCAAUUUUCUAGGAAUAAAAAUAUAACAGUCUAAUUCGUUAAAUUGGUAUACUUUCCCAAAAGACAAAUAAUACAAGCUGAUCUUGAAUAAUCAACAAUUAAUGUGAAAGUGAUAUAUAGACAAUGAACGUGAAGAUUGCUUGAGAUAUGAUAAGAUACUUUCAAUGCUCCCGACAAUAAAAGCAUUAAUUUGGACUCGUUGAUGCAUGGGGUAGAUAAGAGUGGACAGGGGAGCUUGCAGAGAUUGGAAACAAGUAUGGGGGAUCGAGUUUCAAGAGCAUCUCCUCAAGAAAUGAACAUGAGGAUGAGAACAUUUCUCGUCGACACACAAACUGCUAAGAUAAACUAUUGUGGUAAGAUAGAAUAUAUACCACAUCAAUGUCCUAGCUAAGAAUAGUUACCACAGCAAUGUUCUAGCAAAGCAAUAUUGUCGAAAGUUUGUUCAUCUAUAAUUUUCUUUUCCUUUUAAUUAAUUACUAGGAUAGGAUCCGCGCCCUGCGCGGAAUGAGAAAAAUAUAAAAAUGAUAUAUUAAAAUUAUUAAAUUGUAUUUUUGCAUGGUGAAUAUAAUAUAAGGUGAAGUAUAUAAAAUUGGAAAGUACAUAUUUAAUAAAAGUGAAAUAUACUUCAAGCACUUAAUAUAGUGGAUUUUAUUUCAUUAACCUUAAUUAUUAUACUUGUUAAUUUAUAUUCGGUGGACCUUAGAUUUAUAGAAUAACAGUAUUUUGUUGGACCUUUCAUAGUUGUCUUAAACCAAAAAAAAAGAAAAAGAAAUUGUGUUUAAAAAUCCAUUUUUUUUUUUUGGCAUCAUUUAAAAAUCCAUUUCUUUUGAAUGAAAGAGGAUAAGGCCCACAAAAAUAACGUGUCUUUGAUUAAAAACAAAAGACUGUUGUUAAAAACAAAAAAGAACUUUUCUUCGUCUCACGAAAAUCAAUUACUUUGCCUGAAAAAAGAUAAGGGUUAUUACAGAAAAAUUAAAUUUGUUCGAUUCAUCUGGCAAAGCAUCACACCUUCUUAGUCGAGUUGUGGGGAGGAACACAAUUCGGUAAGGGUGCUUGGUGGUGCGAUAGGAUCCACCUGAGUGCGUGACGGUGAAAUUCACCAUCAACUUCGAUUUACCUUGACUGAUUAAAGUUUCAAACUGGCUGACCAUUUCUUUUUUCACAGUACCAUGGAUCAUAUCACCCUAAAAAAUACAGUAAAAACAUAAGGAAACUUAAACGAUAUGGUCAAAUAUAUAUAUUAAUAAGUCUAUUAGAUGAAGGCUUAGACAGAUAACAACAGACUUACUCUAGAAUCAGCUAACACCAUUUCCAUUGUUUCUCCGAAAGCACAAGAAUACUGCUUCCACAGACGAAUCACCUUAACUCUUAUUUUCCACGCUAACAAAAUCUAAGCCUGCCAUUUUUUUUUGAAUCGUAGGGGAAAAGAAACUUAGAGAAUAAUGAAUACAAAAAAAAUGAUGAUAUGGUCGAAGAAGUAUCUUCUUCGGUAUUUAUAUAAGUUCCAACUUAUUCACUAAUAAAUGCGAUUGAUAUAUCACAUAUACGUGCAAUCAAACAAAUUGACAAUCCGGGUUUAAGGCAUUAUAAAAUAUUAAAAUUUUAGGAAGCUAAUAAAUACCGAAUAAAACUAUUUUAGGACUAAAUUCAAAUUGAAAGUCAAAUGUAUUAGUAAUCACAUAAAGCAGUACUCAAUGCAUAUAACAGCUACCGUUAAUCAUGGCAAUCAAGUAUUACCAUAAACAAUAUGAUUUUGACUCGAAUGAAAGAACAUGAUUUCCGUAGAGAUGAAGAUGACACAAAAAAUAUCCCUAAUUUUUAUAUUAGAUUGACUACAUAAUAGGUAAGAUCAUAAAGAUGAAAUCCCCAAUUAUGAAUUACAGAAAAUAAAUUAUUCAUUUUACCUUGAUCAUACAAAGUAUGAACACAGUAACAAUCAUAAUGGUAUAUUUCGUUGGGAUUAUAAAUCUAUGGGAUAACAUUUAGAUUGGUCGAAAUUCUAUGGAAAUCAUGGUUUUUUAUUAGUUAUACUACGUGACAAUAUAUUAACAUACGUACAAUACAUAUUGUCCGCUAGAAAAAUAAUCUAUUAAGUUCUUGACCAAGAAAUAGUCCCAAAUACAGGAAAUGUAAAAAUCAAUUAAAUAGUUCGUUGGAAUUAUAAUAUAAUAUUGUAAACAUUUAGAUUGGUCAAAAUACUGUGUAAAAUCAUGGCUUUUUAUUACUAACUACGUGACAAUAUGAGAUAUGAGAUAGGAGAUGAUUUGUCUGAAACUAAUGUAUGCCAGAUAACCAUGUUUUAUACAUUAUAUAUAAGGAACAUGCAAUUAAAUGUUGGGGUUAGUCCAAUGGCAAUAGUGGUAAAUAGCUAAAUUGGGCGUGGGUCUUUUCAAAAGCAGCUUGAGAAGGCCUGUCUGUGUGACACGUCGCCAUAAUGGCACCAUUGUAAAUAUAGUACAUUUUUAAAGUUUCUCUUUUUAUUUGCUUCCCUUUUAAUAAUAAGGGGAAGAUGGGUGCAAUUUUUGCCUAGCAACACUAGAAUAUAGAAUAUGGACCACUGAUGUAAUUUAAGCAUGCAUAAUGGCACACUAUAAGUACUAGCUUUUAAAUAAAUAAAGUGAUCCUUCAAUUAAUUAGGUAUUUCAUUUUCUCAAAGUAAGUUAGGUAAUAAUACUUUAAUUUCCACACUUUCUUGACCCAAUAAAACUUCCCAAUAUAUUAUUUGUAGUCUACUUUUUUUUUAUUAAAUUUGUAGAUAUUGUUAGAGGAAUAUAGUAUGUUUUCUUUUGAAUUAUUAUCUCUUUUUAUUUAUUUUUAUUUCAAAUAAUAAGUUUGUUUAUUUUUAAGAAGAAUAUCCUACCUCUAGUCAAUUCAAAUUGUUUGUUUCCGACCAUAUUCCAAUCAUGGUAAAUUACCCAAAAAGAACACAAAAUAAUGACGUUGAGACACUCUCAAAAGUUAGCACGUAACAAUUGUAGUAGUGAAAAGACGUCUAAGCAUAUUAAAUAUACUCACACUUUGAAGACAAAUGCAUAUCUCAUUAUUGACUAUUCAUCAGAUAAGAAGCCAAGAGAGUACUCACUGAGACAUGAGUGGUGUGAUUUGAGAAUGGAGCUUGCAGAGAUUGGAAAAAGCAUGGGGUCGAGUUUCAGGAGCAGCUCCUCAAGAAACGAGGAUGAGGCAGAGCAUGCUCUGCAGUGGGCUGAGAUCCAAAGAUUACCUAGUUUCAAACAACUGAGAUCAUCUCUGGUCGAUGAAGAAGGGGAUGAUGUGGAGAAAGGGAAAAGGGUCGUUGAUGUUACCAAGCUUGGAGCCAUGGAACGUCAUCUGAUGAUUGAGAAGCUGAUCAAACACAUUGAGAAUGAUAAUCUCAAGCUGCUCAAGAAAAUCAGAAGAAGGAUAGACAGGUAAAUAUGAAAACAAAGAAACAAACCUUGUGAAUCUUUAAAACUUGUGUGUUUGUGCACUUUCAGGGUUGGUGUGGAGCUUCCGAGCAUAGAGGUGAGGUAUAAGCAUCUAAGUGUUGAAGCAGAAUGCGAGGUCGUUGAAGGGAAGGCCCUUCCAACUUUAUGGAACUCUUUGAAGCACAUAAUUUUAGUGAGUAUACGAAUGUAAUGCAUAUUGUAACUUGGUAGUAAUUGGUGUGAACAAACGCGAAUUAAUUUUGAAAAAAGUAAAGAAACUUAAGAGAGAAAAAAGACAAAUAUCCAUUUAGGGUUUGUGUGUUAAUUAUGUGGAAUAAAUAACUUUUUCAUCUUUAGGAAUUGAUAAAGCUGAGUGGUGUAAGAACACAUGAAGCCAACAUAAGCAUACUUAACGAUGUUAGUGGCAUCAUUAAGCCGGGAAGGUUAGUUAAAUGAGAUAUCUCUCUUGUGUGUAAUGCUCUCAACUAAUGGCCUCUUCUUGUUGCUCCAAGGUUAACACUGCUGCUUGGUCCUCCUGGAUGUGGAAAAACUACUCUGCUCAAGGCUUUGUCCGGAAACUUGGACAAGAAUCUAAAGGUUUUCAGACUUUGUAUCAAUCUGAUUCUGAUGAUGUAGAUGUGUAAACCACAUCUCUUUUGUUUUCCACAGCUUUCUGGUGAAAUCUCUUACAAUGGACACGGUCUAAACGAGUUUGUUCCUCAGAAGACAUCCGCUUACAUAAGUCAAAACGAUCUGCACAUUGCAGAGAUGACAGUUAGAGAGACAAUAGACUUCUCAGCUCGUUGUCAAGGUGUUGGCAGUCGAACAGGUAAGAUGUCAUCAUAAAGCAAUGCUCUCUCUGAAGCAUUCACUAAACUAUUUGCUGAAACAGAUAUAUCAAUUUUCUCUGUACCAAUGUUCAAAAAAUUGUUUGGCUAUAACUAUGCGUUUUGUAGAAGACUACCGAUUAGACGGAUUAUUCGGGGCAGUGCUAACGAAAUAUUGAUUUGUUGUACAUAUUUUUAACAUUUUUAUAUAAUGUUUUUUGCGUUUAAUUAUUUGAUGAAUUGUAAAAAUUAAAUAUAAGAUAAAAAAAAUUAGACAAAUCUGUCGAUUUGCACUAACAUAAUUGGUUAAUUUAGAUUGAUUUAAACCAAUUUUAACCGAUUUAGAACAAUUCAAACCGAUUUGAAUCAUGCUCUAUACUAUUUGCUGAAACAGAUAUUAUGAUGGAGGUCAGUAAAAGAGAAAAGGAUGGUGGAAUCAUUCCUGAUCCUGACGUAGAUGCUUACAUGAAGGUCCCAUUCCAUAAGCUAAUCUUUUAAGAGGGAUGAUUAUAAAACCUUUUGUUAAUCCCAUUGUGCAGGCUAUAUCGGUUAAUGGACUUAAAAGAAGUCUACAAACAGAUUACAUCUUGAAGGUAAUUUCUCUGACAACAACUCAGACUUGUAAUCCUUGUUGAUUAGCUUCUUGAUUAUCUCAUGUAUUUGCAAUUUUCAUUUCUUUUUCUUCAGAUCCUAGGGCUUGACAUAUGUGCAGAAACAUUGGUUGGUAAUGCCAUGAAAAGAGGCAUAUCUGGUGGUCAAAAGAAGCGUCUUACUACAGGAGAGAUGAUCGUUGGUCCAACAAAAGCUCUGUUUAUGGAUGAAAUCACAAACGGCUUAGACAGCUCCACAGCGUUUCAGAUAGUCAAGUCACUUCAGCAGCUGGCUCACAUCACCGACGCAACUGUGUUUGUUUCCCUUCUUCAACCUGCUCCAGAGUCAUAUGAUCUCUUUGACGAUGUUGUUUUGAUGGCUGAAGGAAAAAUAGUGUAUCAUGGUCCAAGAGACGAGGUCUUGAGGUUCUUUGAGGAAUGUGGGUUUAGAUGCCCGGAGAGGAAAGGUGUUGCAGACUUUCUCCAAGAGGUAAGAAGCCAAGUUUAUGUUCCUUGACACUUACGUUUUGUUCUGAGUUGUUUUUGUUUUGCAGGUUAUAUCAAGAAAGGACCAAGGACAGUACUGGCUGCACCAGGACAUACCCUAUACCUUUCUCUCAGUAGACGCAUUGUCCAAGAGAUUCAAGGAGUUAGUGAUUGGGAGAAAGAUUGAGGAUGCUCUCUCUAAGCCAUAUGAUAAAUCAAAAACCCACAAGGAUGCUCUUUCUUUCAGUGACUAUUCUCUUCCAAAGUGGGAGCUGUUCAGAGCAUGCAUCUCAAGAGAGUUUCUAUUAAUGAAGAGAAACUCUUUCGUCUACCUCUUCAAGACGUUUCAGGUUACAUUCUUCGUUCCUUGUGUCUUCUUUCAAUGUUCUAGGGUUAGGUCUAAAGAAACCCUUCUUGCCCUUUAUGUUUUGCAGCUUGUUCUGUCAGCAAUCCUCACUAUGACAGUUUUUAUUAGAACACGGAUGGGUGUAGAUAUCAUUCAUGGAAACUCUUACAUGAGUUGUCUCUUUUUCGCAACCGUUGUGCUUUUGGUGGAUGGUUUGCCAGAGCUGUCUAUGACUGUUCAACGUCUUGCCGUGUUCUACAAGCAAAAGCAACUUUGUUUCUAUCCAGCUUGGGCUUAUGCAAUCCCUGCAACCGUGUUAAAGAUCCCUCUCUCUUUCUUCGAAUCUCUCGUUUGGACUUGCCUUACUUACUACGUCAUUGGAUACACUCCUGAAGUCUCUAGGUAAGAAGAACUCUAUAACCAUCUCUUGCUUGCUCCCUACUCAAACGAUUAUGGAAAGUAAUGGUUACUUGGUGUUUUUAGGUUCUUACGUCAGUUCAUGAUGCUCUUUGCUGUUCACUUCACAUCCAUAUCCAUAUUCCGAUGUAUAGCUGCAAUCUUUCAGACAGGAGUUGCUUCAAUGGCAGCUGGUAGUUUCGCCGUAUUAAUCACCUUUGUGUUCGCCGGUUUCGCCAUCCCAUACAGUAAGACUUUUGCACUCUUUCUUCAUUUCAGUCUUGUUCCAAACUUCCAUCAAAACAUGACCAGGGCCGGAUCUAGGCACAGCCCAAUAAAACAUCGGUCUCGGUCCCUAAAUUUUUUGAAAUUUUUAGUACGAAUAAACCCCUAAACUAUAGAAAAAAAAAAUUGUUUUACUAAGAUUUUUAAAUGUUUCAAGCUCCCAAAAUCUCAUAUCCGGCCCUGAACGUGACAUUGGUUUUGUUGCUGCAGCUGAUAUGCCAGGGUGGCUGAAAUGGGGAUUCUGGGUGAAUCCUAUAGGUUACGCAGAGAUUGGGCUCUCUGUAAACGAGUUUCUUGCUCCAAGAUGGCAGCAAGUAAGUAUCUCAUCUUUUACAUAAUUAUCUUCAUCAUUCUUACAAGACUAAUCAUUUUUUUCUUGUUAUGUUUUGUAGAUUCAACCAACGAAUGUUACAUUGGAGAGAACCAUACUUGAAAGCAGAGGACUGAACUAUGAUGAUUACAUGUACUGGGUCUCAUUAUGUGCCUUGCUUGGACAGACCCUUAUCUUCAACAUCAUUUUCACUCUAGCUUUGAGUUUCUUGAAAUGUAAGUUACAACUAUCGAAAAAUAUGCCAUGGACUAAAGCAUAUACUGAAGAGCUUCUUUUUUAACAGCUCCUACCACAUCUCGCGCUAUGAUCUCCAAAGACAAGCUCUCUGAGCUGCAAGGAAGAAAAUAUUCAUCAGUCAAGAAGAACAAGAAGGCAAUAGAUUACACAGAAGAUUCAGGUGAAACAUAUAUGUCUUUCUUGUCAUACAAGCAAACUCUUUAUUCUCAGUUUAGCUUUAUUGACCUAAUUCAUUCAGCAGGGAAGAUGGCCUUACCUUUCAAGCCUCUCACCAUAACAUUCCAAGACUUGAACUACUACGUAGACGUUCCUGCGGUAAUAUCUUAUAUUCCCAUUCUUGGAUCUUAAACCUUCUUCAUAUACAAUGAUCAUGUUUGACUAAUCUCAGGAGAUGAGAGUUCAAGGAUACAACGAGAAGAAACUGCAGCUUCUCUCAGACAUCACCGGAGCUUUCAGACCAGGCGUUCUAACAGCGUUGAUGGGGAUCAGUGGAGCCGGAAAAACAACUCUACUCGACGUUCUCGCCGGAAGAAAAACAAGCGGAUACAUUGAAGGAGAGAUCAGAAUCAACGGAUACCUUAAAGUCCAAGAAACGUUUGCAAGAGUCUCAGGCUACUGUGAGCAAACAGAUAUACACUCACCAAACAUCACCGUCGAGGAGUCUCUAAUCUACUCAGCUUGGCUCCGUCUAGUUCCAGAAAUAGAUCACAAAACCAAAAUAGUAAGCCCUAGUGAUGAUUCUAAAAAAGGAAAGAAUGACCUAGAAAGUAACUUGACUGAAAAGAAACUCGUUGCAGAGAUUCGUGAAGGAAGUUCUUGAGACGAUAGAGCUGGAGGAGAUCAAGGACGCCAUGGUGGGAGUCCCCGGCCAGAGCGGGCUGUCGACGGAGCAGAGGAAGAGGUUGACGGUGGCGGUGGAGUUGGUGGCGAAUCCUUCGAUCAUCUUCAUGGACGAGCCAACGACGGGGCUGGACGCAAGAGCAGCUGCCAUUGUGAUGAGAGCUGUGAAGAACGUUGCGGAGACUGGACGUACCAUUGUGUGCACUAUUCAUCAGCCUAGCAUCGACAUUUUUGAAGCCUUCGACGAGGUAAUACAUAUUUUUUUUUUCAAAUAUAAAAGUAUUUAUAUUGAUUUUUUAAAAGAAUACUCUCAAAUUGUAUUACAUAACAUUUUAUCCAGAAACAGAUAUAAGAGAUUUUUUUUUUCUUUCAAAUAGCCUUUAUCAAAAUUUUGAAAAUUAUAGAAUAAUUAUGUUUAGGGUUUAGAAGGGAUGGGUGAGAUUAGGUUUUAUAAAUUAGAGUAACUUAAUUAUUAUUAUUUUUGAAAAAAAUGAGUGAUGUUUUGAAGAUCUGUUAGUGCUAUAUUUGUGAUAAAAUAUAAAAGGGCUUCUAUUGGAGUUUUGACGAUUUUUUUGGAUAAUUAAAUAGAAAUUUCUUAAAACAUAUUGUUUUAUUACAUGUUCAGUUGGUACUUCUGAAGAGAGGAGGUAGCAUGAUUUACACUGGACCACUUGGACAACAUUCUUCUCAUGUCAUACAGUAUUUUGAGGUCAGCGUGUUACACAAGAAAAUGAGUCAGUUUAGUUUCUAUGAACUUUUCAAUGUUUUAACGAAAUAAUUAACUAUGUAUAUUUUUGUUAUUUGGGGUUAAUGAACAGAGUAUCCCUGGAGUUGCUAAGAUUAAAGACAACUACAAUCCAGCAACAUGGAUGCUAGAGGUCACUUCACAGUCUGUAGAGAUUGAACUCAACAUGGAUUUUGCAAAAAUCUACAAAGAAUCAGCACUCUACAAGUGAGCUGAAUAUCUCAAAAACAACUGAAACUUGUCAUUUAUUACGAGCUCAUGUGUUUUCUCUGUGGCAGGAGCAACUAUGAACUUAAUCAACAGCUGAGCAAACCGGAUCCCGGGUCAAGCGAUUUGCACUUCGAGAGAACUUUUGCGCAGAGCUGGUGGGAACAGUUCAAGUCUUGUCUCUGGAAGAUGAGCUUGUCUUACUGGAGAAGCCCUGCUUACAACUUGAUGCGAAUCUGUCACACUUUGGUCUCUUCUUUGAUCUUUGGUCUACUCUUCUGGAAGCAAGGCCAAAAGAUGUAAGUUAGCUGCCUAAAAUAUAAUCAAAAUCAUCAUUACAUUCUUAGUAAAGAAAUGUCUCACAUAGCAGUAAAAUACUAUUUUAUUCCAAAAUAUCAAACAAGAAUAUUUUUUUCAAAAAAAGUAUUUAACUAAAAGCGGAGUUUGGGUUAGGGUAAGAGUUUAGAUGCAAAGUAAUUUAGUUAUUUUAAUCUUUAACUAAUGAUAGUUUGAGAUACUCAUUAUGUGCUAUUUUUGUCAUAAUUGUUUUUAUGAUAUCUAGCUAAGGAAUUUUCCUUUCUUAGUAUUCAUUGUAUUAUUGUAUGUUUUUUGGCAGAGAUACUCAACAGAACUUGUUCACAGUUCUAGGAGCCAUAUAUGGCCUUGUGAUCUUCUUGGGGGUAAACAACUGCACUUCAGCGUUACAGUAUUUUGAGACAGAGCGUAAUGUUAUGUACCGUGAAAGAUUCGCUGGAAUGUACUCUGCCUUUGCCUUUGCAAUGGCUCAGGUUGUGACCGAGAUUCCUUACAUUUUAAUUCAAAGCGCAGAGUUUGUGAUCAUAAUAUAUCCAAUGAUGGGUUUAUACGGGUCUGCCUACAAAGUCUUUUGGAGUCUCUACUCAAUGUUCUGCAACUUACUCUCCUUCAACUACUUAGCGUUGUUCCUCAUCUCCAUCACUCCAAACUUCAUGCUCGCAGCUAUUCUCCAGUCUCUUUUCUUCGUUGCUUUCAACCUUUUUGCUGGAUUCUUGAUUCCACUACCGGUAAUAUCUUUUUUUGUAACAAGUCAUUAUCAUCAUCAUCAUCGUUGAUCUUUACCUAUAGUUAAUAGUGUGUUUCCUUGAUGUUGAAACAAUGCAGCAAAUACCAAAGUGGUGGGUCUGGCUUUACUAUCUAAUACCUCCCUCUUGGAGUCUCAAUGUGUUUUUCUCGUCUCAAUACGGUGAUAUUCAUCGAGAGAUCAAUGCAUUUGGAGAAACCACGACCGUUGCGAGAUUCUUAGAGGACUACUUUGGAUUCCAUCAUGAUCGUUUGAUGACUUCAGCAAUUGUUCUCAUCGCGUUUCCAGUUGCAUUGGCCUCUAUGUUUGCUUUCUUUGUUGCCAAACUCAACUUUCAGAAGCGAUGAUCGAGUAAUCACACACCGACCAAAGGUCUAUAAGCACCAAAUGGUAGUUUACAAAAUAUAUGUACGGACAUGCAUGUAUUCUUUGGCACACACUUUGUAACACUAAACAAAUGCAAGCUUUAUUCAUAAAUUUUUUAAAAAAAUUAAAAUAUACUAAUAUUGCAUUUACAACAUAAUAGUGUCAACACUUGAAGGCUUGAAGCUUAAUACAGUUAGUUUAAGUACCCACUUGUAAUGAAAUGAAACACAAUAAAACAUGCUUUUAGUUUGCUUCUUGAUUGAACAUAUGAACGUAAAGUACAAGAGAUCUAAACAAAACAAAUACAUAGGAAGAUUCAAGAUAGUGCCAAUCAUACUUUGUAACUCAUUUUUUUUACCAUAGAGAAAUGAUCUUAAUUAGUAUACUGCUUCCUUUAUUCAAUCACAUCAUUAAUUUUCAAGAAACGUCACUUUCUUUCUUUGAUAACAAAAUACAACAAAAGAAAGAGACAGGUCCGUGUCUUGUCGUCCUCCCCAUCUCUACUAGUAACACUUUGAAUUUAAUACCGCCAAACUCAAAGAUGUCCUAAAGCCUAAUUGAUCCCUUUAUGAUCACAUGCCCUUCUCCUUCCUCUCUCUUUCUAUGGUGCAUGCCUUAAUCCAUCAAGAACUUCCACAAAUGUAUUAAACUAUAGUAUUAGUAGCUUCAGGUUCCAACAUCAAAACGGUUCUCAAUCAAGGUUAUUUAGGAGAUAUGAGGAAGGGAUAUUCUUGAAUCUUGAUUCUUGAACUCUUAAGAAAAGUCAUUACUAGCCUCUGAUUCUGCUUCAUGACUUGAGGUUGAAGCCACAACACUUGCUUCAUCAGAAGAAACAUCUUUGAGCUUUGAACUUGACUCUUCUUCUUCUGUGGAGGCAACAUUCUCAGUUGCUUGAUCAACUUUUUCUUCCUCCAAAAAUCUAUUUUCAUGAGUUUCUUCUUCUAGCUUGGAUGCUGAAGUGGAAACAGAAGACAAACAUGAAACUUCAGAUGAACUCAAUUGAUCUGAUCCUUCAAAACUGCGAGACCCCUUUAUGGAUACAAGCUUUUUCAUCAGAAACUUUAGUCUCUUCUCUGCUUUCUCCCUUAAUCUUAUCUCUUCUUUCAGAUGUUUCUCCAGCUCUUCCAUCUGUUUCCAAGAGAUCAAAAGGUUGUCUUUAAAACCAUAAUCAGCUUAUUACCAAACAAAGAUGAGGAAACGAUAACAGAACAAAUGAAUCUCUAUCUUGGUACUUAAGUAACAAGAAUUGGCUCUUUUCUUGGUCCUUGAUCAAAAACCAAAUCUUGAAAAAUAAAGAGAAAAAGGCUACUUAGUAAACAAGAAUUAUACUUAGAUUUUGUGAAGCUUACCUUUCUGGUAAUGAGAUCCGCUUCAUCUUUUACAAACCUUGAAACUUGCCUCUCUGCAAGUAGUCUCCCUCUUAGACACUCCACAGUUCUCAGACCUUCCUUCUCUUCUCCUUCUUCCAUCUUCUUAUUUGCAGAAUUUGUUCUUAAACAAAAAAAAAUAGAUAAAUCAAUUCGUCAAUAGACUCUCUCAAUAUAGAACUUUCUUAAGAUCACACAACACUAAUAUAGAUAUAGAGAGAAAGAAAGAGAAACCUGCAUUUCGUGUUGCAAUUGAAGGGAUCAAUUGUCAUACUGUUCUUUAUUCAAAAACCAGAACCAGAUUGGUAAAAGCUUAUAAAGCUCAACUUCUCACCUAACUGCAAAAAGGGUAAACUAAAAAUAAUAAGACAGUUAAGACCAAUGUGUUGUUAGAUUGAUGUCACUAUGAUUUACAUUUAUUGUUCAUUCAGUAAGAGGAACAUAUCAACAUCAUAUCUUAAAAACCAACUUACCACGACACAGUCGACACUCUUCUUUAACAAAAUAAUAAAAAAAAUUCUCAAGUUCAAAUAGUAAACACAGAUCCAGUUUCAAAUUCAAAUCCCCUCGCUUGGUAGAGAAGAGUGAAAUGAACUUAAAACCACAAAAGUUUUGAAGUUCUCUCUGAAAAGAAAAUCAGAAUCUGUGGUGUAGGGACAUGUUGUAAGCAAAACGACAGUGUGGGAUUGGAGUUUAGUUUAAGUAAUUUAUAAUAUUUUAAAAAAUUAAGUUGUCAAUAUUUUUUCAAAUUUUUUAUCAAAACAAUGUUCAAAGUAAAUUUCAAAAUUAAUAUAUUUAUGUAUUUUUAUAUGGCAUAUAGUUUAAUUUAAAAUGAUACAUAUAUUUAUAUAUCUUUUAUUUUUGAUACUUAUUAAAUGAGACUUUCAACUUAUAUUAUUUUUUAAUUAUUUGUAUCAUGUCAUAACAAAAGUUUUAAAUCAUAGAUCACAAAAUUUGAAUGUGAAAUUUUUGACAGUUUUAGCAAUUUAUACUCGUUUUUAAAAAUUCAAAAUAUAAUAUAUAAAUAAAAUUUUUAAUUUUUAUUAUAUGGUUACUAUGAUUGUUUAAUUUAUUUUAAUAGAUUAGAAUUAAACAAAUACAAAUAUAAUACACACUUAUUUUUAUCAAAUCUGUAUUAUUCAAAAUCAUUAAUUGUCAUAUAUACUUUAGCCACAUUAAGCAAUUCCGUAAUCUUAUUUAAGGAAAUAAUGAAACACAUUAAUAAUGUAUUUAUUGUGGUUUAAUAAAAAACUUAUUAUAUAUUUAGAUGAACCAACUUAUUUCUGUAAGGAUUCUAAGAAUCAUUCUAGUGAUGACACGUGAUUACAAGAAAAUGUUGCAAUGUUUCUCAAAUAAUAUAUAGAGGAUUAGAUAAUUAGUUACCAACACGCAAAUAAAACAUUCGAGUGAUUAAGAGCUCACUUGUACUUCACUCAAGGAUCAAAGUAAUUUACUACCAUAACCCUUUUAAUCAAACUAUACUUAUUUUGUGAAGCAACCUAAUGAAUUAUAUUCUUGUUCUUAUUAGGAACCCCACCACUUCAAUCCAAGCCACUUAAUAACUCCCAAGUUAUAGCCUGCUUGGGUAUGAUCUUAAUCAUUCAAAGUUAUGUUCAAUGACGACAAUAAAAACUACAUAUCAUAAAAAGCAAAAUCAUUACACAUAAACUCUUUUAGAAGCCCCACAAGAAACCUUUUGAACUCAUUCGACUUCACGGCAAGAACAUCAAUAAGUUUCAUCGAUCUCUUGUUUCGUGAUACACUCCUUGUCACUCAUUGACUCAACCAAACCCUCUAUCAUCUCGUACAUCUCUUUGCUUCUCUCACAUGAACCAUCUUUCGCAAUGAAACUUCUUAAUCCUUUACCAGUAUCGAUCCAGCUAGUUCCAGGGAUUUUCUUCAAUCCGAUUCUUCUCAUCUUAUCCCUUACAAUCUCAGCUUCUUCCCAUCUCCCUGCUUGAGUGUAUAGAUUCGCCAUGAUAGUGUAACUCCCUGUAUUUUCUGGUUCCAUCUCAACUAAAUGAUCGUAAGCGAACCUCGCAAUCUCCACAUCACCAAGAACAUAAGCCCCAUUCAACAAUGCACCCCAAACUUUAGCAAUUGGCUCAACUGGCAUCUUGGAAAUGAACUCCAUCGCAUCCGAAAGUUUGCCAGCGCGGCUAAGAACACUUACCAUACAAGCAUAGUGCUCCACCCCAGGCUCAAUGCCAUACUUUGUUACCAUAGAAUCAAAUAUGCUAUGCGCCUUAUCCGACUCUCCAGAGUGUGCACAAGCUGAAAGAAGAGCUGUUAGUGUAACAUUGUCUGGCUUAGUCCCAAGACAUAUCAUUUGGUUAAAAAGACUACAAGCAGAAUCAGAGUCCCCAUGGGUAGCGUACGCUGUUAUAAUCGCAGUCCAUACAAUCAAGCUCCUCUCUCUACAGUUAUCAAAAACUCUCUGAGCUCCUUGGAGAUAUCCUAAUUUCGCAUAGUUAUCUAUAAUGGAGGUAGCGACAUAUAUGUUGCUGUCAGAACCGUUACGGAUGGCGAAAGCAUGAAUCUCCUUACCUCCUUUGAGAUUAGAACUAUACGUCAACGAAGGAAGAAGACUCGAGAGGGUCACCGUGUUUGGCCUGUUGCCACACCUUAUCAUCUCCCUAAACAAAUCUAUAACCUCCUCGUGAUGAUUAUUCUGCAUAAGACCCGAAAUCACAGCGUUCCACGUACUCAAACCAACACUCUCCAUCUCACAGAACAAAGCCAUUGCUUCCUUAACAAGACCAUGAGCCAUGUACCCUGAUAUUAUAGCUCCAUAAGUGACAGAAUCUUUCUCACUCAUCUCAUCAAACAACGCUCUCGCGUAAUCCAAGCUACCGCAUUUAGCAUAAACACCAAUCACAGCAUUACACAAGGAUAAAUCCAUCUGGAUAUGAUUCUCAAUCAUCUGCUUGUGAACUUCCAUCCCCAAAACAAGAUCGCUUGAUUGUCCACACGCCUGCAACACGCUUAUCACAGUGACUCCAUUAGGCUUCAGUUCAGGACAAAAUAACAUCGCUUUAUACAACUCUUUACACUCCUCGUAAGACCCACUUUGAGAAUACCCAGAGAUCAUAGAGUUCCACGAGACGACAUCUCUCUCAGGCAUUUCGUCGAACACUUUCCGCGCAGAAACGACGUCGUCACACUUUGUAUAGUAAGUGAUCAACCCGUUGCUCACGAAGACAUCGGAAUCAAACCCACCUCGUAACACAAACCCGUGAACUUGCUGAGCCAGCGAACACAACAAGAAGUCAUCGUAACCCGACAGAGACUUCAACACGCAAGAGAUGGUAACAGAAUCUGGUCUAGCUGUACCGGAGGAUCUAAUCCACGACGAGAACAAGUUAAAAGCAUCGGAGUACAUCUCACGCGAAGUGUAGGCGAUGAGAAGCGCGUUGUAAGAGAAGGCAUUUUUAACGGUAAUUUCGUCGAACACGUGGAGGGCUCGGCGGAAUUGGUUCUCUCUGGUGUAGAAAUUAAUGAGCUUGGAAGCGAGGAAGUUGUCAGGCGUGAUGGAGAAGAGGACGAUUCGUGCGUGGAGCUGUAGCGCGUGGAGAGGAAGACGGUGACGAGUGAAGUGGUGGAUGAGGUGGCCGUACGCGCCGCCGUCAAUUGUCGCAUAGUUGAGCAAGCCUUGCAAGGCUCGUUGAAUCGCCUUCAUUCAUAUCUAACCGAAAGCUAAACCGGAAAAAUAAACAUUUAUGAAUAUAUCGAGGUAAGUUAAUGGGCCUUUAAUGGGGCCUUAAGCCCAUAUGUUAUCACUUCUAAGUAUUUAUAAGUAUUGCAAUUUAAGGACAUCUUUAGUUUCCAUGUCUUGUCUGAGAAAAUAUCAUUGUCGAGCUUUCACUUACAUUCAAUCUCGAUCACUGAAACGUGAUUUAGCAAACGACGCGACUGAAGUUGAGAGACGAGCUCGGGCUCUGAGAGUUCUUGACAUCAUCUCUUCAAAAACUAGUGAAGCUUCGAAUCGUCAGAACCAUCUUGGUGAAUUUCUAAAAACAGAUCCGAGACGAUUCAGAGAUCAAACAGUUUCCGAGGAUCUCGACCUCUCAAGAACCAAACAUGGAGUCUUAAGCGUGCUGGAAGAAGUUCUCCUUGAGGAGGACUCUUCAAGCUCUGUCAAUGGCGGUAUGCAGGAGCGAGAAGAAUGGAGUUUCGAUGCGUAUGGUUUGUCCUCCGCCGUGAGAUCUUGCGGGUCGAAGCGAGAGUUUAAAACCGGUUACGGGUUUCAUUGCUUAGCGUUGAAGAGUGGGUUGAUCUCAGAUGUCUACGUAGGAAGUUCUCUGGUCGUUUUAUACAGAGAUUCAGGUGAGGUAGACAAUGCACAUAAGGUGUUCGUAGAAAUGCCUGAGAGGAACGUUGUUUCGUGGACGGCGAUUAUCUCAGGGUUUGCUCAAGAAUGGCGAGUUGAUAUGUGCUUGAAGCUUUAUUCAGAGAUGAGAAACUCGACUUCUGAUCCGAAUAAUUACACGUUCACGGGUCUCUUGAGCGCUUGUACAGGAAGUGGAGCUCUAGGGCAAGGGAGAAGUGUUCAUUGCCAAACGCUACAAAUGGGUUUCAAGUCUUAUCUUCAUAUCACAAAUGCUCUCAUCUCGAUGUACUGCAAAUGCGGGGACUUGAAUGAUGCGUUUCGUAUCUUUGACCAUUUUGAGAAUAAAGACGUUGUCUCUUGGAACUCUAUGAUUGCUGGUUACGCGCAGCACGGACUUGCGACGCAAGCAAUCGAGAUGUUUGAAGUAAUGAUGACGAAAAGCGGGAUAAAGCCAGAUGCAAUCACGUAUCUAGGAGUCUUGUCAUCGUGCAGACACGCAGGUCUGGUAAAAGAAGGGAGAAAGUUGUUCAAUUCGAUGGCGGAGAACGGCAUGAAGCCACAACUCAACCACUACUCUUGUCUGGUCGAUCUCCUCGGCAGAUUUGGUCUAUUACAAGAAGCGUUGGACUUGAUCGAGAACAUGCCGAUGGAACCAAACCCUGUCAUAUGGGGAUCUCUGCUGUUCUCUUGCCGUGUUCACGGUGAUGUCUGGAUGGGAAUCAGAGCUGCAGAGGAACGGCUGUUGCUUGAACCUGAAUGUGCAGCAACACAUGUCCAGCUGGCGAAUCUUUACGCCAGUGUUCAGUACUAUAAAGAGGCGGCGAUGGUGAGGAAGGUGAUGAAAGAUAAAGGACUGAGGACGAAUCCUGGUUGCAGUUGGAUAGAGAUUGAUAACGAUGUUUUCAUGUUUAAAGCUGAAGAUGGUAGCAACUGUAGAAUGGUAGAGAUUGUUCAUGUUCUUCGUUGUCUCGUAGAUCACAUGGAGUUCUUCUAAUACAAAGCAUAAAAAAAUCAGUCAAUUUUGUUCUAAGUAAAGGAGAAAUCAUAAUGCAUAAUUGAUCAGUCCAUUUUUUUCACCCAUUGCUUAAAAAAAAAAAAAGUUUUCACCCUUAGUUUAUCAAAUAUCUAUUAAUGAUUUUAUAAAUAUAAGUGAUGGAGUUUGAAUCUCAAAGAUUGUGAUUUUUAUUUUAAAAAGUUAGUGGAAACAAACUUACAGAAAAUUUUUAGUACAAAUGAAAUGGUUUGACAUGAAUCCUAUAGAAUUGUCUUAUUGUAAAGUCCUUGAUGUAAAAAUUCUCAUCAGUUUUUUUUAAAAAAAAAGACUUUUUCAACAAUACCUCCAUUACCAUAUGAAAAAAGUAGUUGGGUAAUUUGUUAAUCAACAAGUAAUCAAAUGAAUGUAGCUGUAUAAUGUGGUAAAAUGCGCCAAGAGUUCUCCCAAGUCCCCAUCUAAAAUUUUCUCAACUCUUUGACUUAUGUUCUAUAAGAUGUCUUUUUCUUGAUCUCCUCUGAAAUAUAAUAAUUGAAGUGAACAAAAACAAUGACAAGUGAAGACACACUUGCAAACAUUUCUUUGGAUAGUAAUUUAUCUCUUAUAAAUCACGAGUUUGCACGAUUGAUAUUAAUCUUUUUAAAGUCAUUUUCCUCUGCGUUCAAAAGUUAUUUAAUAAGACCAAAAUCUAAAAUAAGGGAAUCGAAUCCAAAAGCCAAAAAAUAAAUUAAGGAUCCUAAACAUGAGCUGAUGGAAUAAAGAUGAGAGGAAAGUGUCUACUCU
rnacentral:lncRNA from 1 species